rnacentral:lncRNA from 1 species
AGCUGCUGCUUGUCGCCCCUUUGUUUGUUUGGUAUGCCGAAAAUAACGCUUUGUUUCGUUUGCAGUGCUCAAGGUGAACGCCAAGAAGCACCUGGAUGAUCUGAUCAAGGACCGGGACUCCUGGAAGGUCAACUGUUGCAGGAUCUGGAAAGGAGUGUCCCCGGUCCUAGACCUGAUCAGUCCCGAGCUCCCGGAGAGCCAGCCCCGCGCGCCACAGUUGACCCCGGUCGAGAAGGCGCAACGGGCGUGGGACUGGCUCCAGCAGUUCGUGAAGGACGCCGGGGAGUUUGCCGGCGCGCACGUCCUCAGCAUGGUGCGCGCCCACUAUCCCCUGGUCGACUUGAGCAGGCUGGAGAUGGGGUACCCGAAGGAGGUCGGCCCACAGGAAGCGGACGAGCUUCGGGGUAGUCUGCUGGACUUGUCGUCGAUAGUGAUCGGCGACAUCAAUUUGUGUGGAACGGCCACUCCCCCAGACCAGCCGAGUUCAGAUAGGUCGGCCAGGGAGUUGUCGGGCGCGUCCGUUGCGGGAGAUGGGCAGUCGACGCCUGCGGUCUCGACCAGCCAGGCGCCGGUGGCCCCGACCCCUUCGUCCGGGCAGCAGGGCCAGGCGGGUGAUCAGCCCGAGCAGCUAGGCCAAUAGAGUAGUCUGUAGGAAUAGACUAGUGUCUGCCCGUCAGGGUAUUUAUUGUAAACUUUGUAUGUAAAGUUUGUAAUAAAGUUUGCUUUUUGUCAUGACUGUUGUUUUUGAGCGCUGUAAGAUUAUCUGAGUGAUGUGUCACCGUAUUCGUCUUGGUAGUCGUUAAGAGCAUCCAUCGCAGGAGUUUUGCCGAGUGCUGUGUGCAACAAGGUAUAGGCAAAAAAAAUAGAGAAUUUCAUUAUCAACAAUUAUAAGAUACUUACAAAGGAAAGUUAUUAAAACUUUAUGGAUAGAAACGUCGCAGUUUGUCUAUGUGCCAAGAGUUAGGCACUCGUGUUCCGUCUGGGUAUGCCAAUCUGUAGGACGUAGGUCGUGUGACCUCGGUCACCACGAAGGGUCCUUCCCAGGGAGUGGAUAGUUUGUGCAUUCCCUCCUGGCUUGUUUUCCAUCGAAGUACCAGAUCGCCGACCACGAAGGAACGGUCCUUGACGUUCCUAUUGUAGUAUCGCCUGACUGCCGCGAGAUAUUUUGCUGUUCGGAGACAAGAAUCUAAACGCUUUUCCUCCAUGCAAUUGAUUUCGAGUUCUCUGGCGUUGUCGGCGGUCGCCUGGUCGAAGUGUUCGAUUCUAGGAGAUCCGAAGUGUAUGUUAGACGGCAAGACCGCCUCUGCACCGUACACCAUGAAGUAGGGAGACACCCCUGUGUUUCGACUGGUCUGAGUUCGGAGGCCCCAGACCACUGCCGGCAAUUCUUUCAUCCAUCGACCGGGUGCUCUGUCGUUUUCGGUGUACAACCUUUUCUUUAGGGCGUCAACGAUCAUUCUGUUAGCACGUUCAACUUGACCGUUGGCACGUGGAUGUGCCACUGACACGUAUUUUAUGACUAUGGCUCUGUCAUCGCAGAAGUCCCAAAAAGUGGUGCCAGUAAACUGAGUGCCCAGGUCGGUGAUUAUGCUGUUCGGGAUGCCGAAUCUGUGUAUGAUUUGAUUGAGAAACUCCACAGCCUUCUCGGAGGUUGCCUUGACCAGAGGCAUGUAUUCAAUCCACUUGGAGAACUUGUCGAUUAACACGAAAACAAACUUGAAAUUGCCCGGGGCUGGUUUAAAUGGCCCGAUCAUGUCAAGCCCCCAGCAAGCAAAGGGCCAAGACGACGGGAUGGUUUGAAUUUCGUGGGCAGGUACGUGGGUCCUCUUAGCGAAAAACUGGCAUCCUUCGCAAUGUCGAACCAAUUUUUCUGCGUCGUCUACCGCGGUUGGCCAAUAAAAACCUGCUCGGAAAGCCUUUCCGACCAGCGUUCUGGAUGCGGCGUGAUUGCCGCAGGAUCCAGCAUGUAUGUCCUCUAAGAGCUUGAUACCAUCAUCUUGGGGUAUGCACUUGAGCAGUACUUCAGAGCUUGCGUUUUUCCGCAUGAGUUUGCCGUCGACCAGGAUGUAGUUCUUUGAUCGUCGAAUGAGGCGCUCGUUCUCUGUUUUGUCCUGAAGGCCUGUCCCGUCCGAUAUGUAUUUGAUGAACGGGGUACGCCAGUCACGCCCACCGGUUGUCGGAGUGGCGUCGUCUAUGAGCAUUGCCUCGGUGGGUUGCUUGUCGACCAGGGAGGAGCCUACGCUCGGCUCGUGGAUGUCCUGGACGAAAAUACCCCGCGGGAUCUGGGCCCGAGAUGAGCCUAACUUCGACAACGCAUCUUCUGCUUGGUUCUUAUCCCGGACCACGUGGAUGUACUCUAUGCCGUAGAAGUUGGUUUCCCAUUUGCGAAUUUCUUUGCAGUAGAGAUCCAUCUUCUCGUGGGUUGCGUCCCACUCCUUGUUGAGCUGGUUGAUGACCAAAGCGGAGUCGCCAUAAACAUAGAGGCGCUUGACUCCCAGCUCAACGGCUAGUCUUAUGCCAUGCAAACAUGCUUCAUAUUCGGCGACGUUGUUUGACGCCGGAAAAAGGAUCCGAAGGACGUAACGCAGUUUGUCCUUGUUGGGUGAUACGAACAGUAUCCCAGCGCCGGCACCGUUGAUGUUCAAGGACCCGUCAAAGAACAUUGACCAGUGGUCUGAGACAUCGGGAACGGAAGGCUCGUUGAGAUCCGUCCAUUCAGCAAUGAAAUCGACCAGGGCCUGAGACUUGACAGUGGUGCGACUCUGGAACUCCAGGGAAAAUGGACAUAAUUCCAUUGCCCAUUUCACGAUUCUGCCAUUGGCGUCUUUAUUGCGCAGGAUGUCCCCGAGAGGGAAACUGGUUGUCACCAGGACUCGAUGGCCGUCGAAGUAGUGCUUCAGCUUUCUUGACGUUAUUAGAAUGGCGUAUAUGAGCUUCUGUAUUUGUGGAUACCUGGCCUUGGACUCGUUUAAGACUUCACUUAUGAAGUAAACUGGUCUCUGGACCUUGUAGGCGUGACCUGGUUCACCUUGCUCGACCACUAUUGCCGUGGAAACAACCCUGUCGGUUGCAGCAAUGUAAAGGAGUAGGUCUUCAUUGGGCUGAGGCGCUGUAAGGACAGGUGGCGAAGUGAGGAAGGUCUUAAGCUGGUUGAAUGCGGUGUCGGCUUCUUGUGUCCAAGAAAAUUUUUCCGACGCUUUUAAUAGUUUGAAGAAAGGGAGGCCUUUUUCUCCUAGCCUUGAGAUGAAGCGACUGAGGGCGGCCAUACAUCCGGUUAGCUUUUGGAUAUCCUUUACGUUCUUCGGUGGUCGCAUGUCGAGUACCGCCUUUACUUUUGAAGGGUUUGGUCGUAUGCCGUCGCGACUGACAACGUUGCCGAGCAGUAGACCGGAAGGAACGCCGAAAAUGCAUUUCUUGGGGUUGAGCUUCCACUUGUACCUAUUAAGUGCCUUGAAGGUUCGGUCUAAGUUGUCGAUUAGGGUGCUCGCGUCCCUUGUUUUUACGACCACGUCGUCCACAUAGGCCUCGAUGAGGUCAUCACGAAUCUCGUCGUGGAGGCAUUGCUGGAUGGCCCUUUGAUAAGUGGCCCCGGCGUUUUUGAGUCCGAAAGACAUGGUCGUGUAGCAGUAUGCGCCGAAAGGGAUGAUAAAGGAUGUUUUGAUCUGAUCUUCUUCCUUUAACGAAAUCUGGUGAUAACCAGAGUAGCAGUCUAGAAAGGAGAGGAGUUCGCAUCCGGCCGUUGAGUCGACCACCUCGUCGAUGCGAGGGAGACCAAAAGGAUCUUUAGGACAGUUUUUAUUGAGAUCAGUGUAAUCAACGCACAUUCUCCAUUCGUUAUUCUUUUUGCGUACAAGAACCGGAUUGGCGAGCCAAUCGGGGUGAUACACUUCUUUUUUGAAUCCGGCUGCUAGAAGCCGUGUGAUUUCUGUCCUAAUAGCCUCCUUUUUGUCGCGAGCGAACCGUCGCAGCUUUUGCUUGAUUGGUCUUGCGGUCUUCGAGACAUUUAAGGAGUGCUCGAUCAGGUUUCGUGGGACGCCGGGCAUGUCUGCGGGUUUCCAUGCGAAAAUGCUUACGUUGUCCCUUAGAAACCUGACGAGCGCGUCUUCCUAUUUUGGAUCCAGGUUGGCCCCGAUGAGGGCCGUCUUCUCGGGGCUUCCGUCGACCAGCUGAACUUCCUUGUGCUCCUUGGAUUUUGAGUUCUUUCUGGCUGUCUCCUGCUCAGGUAAUCGGAGCUGGUCGGGAAGCAGCUUCGCGGCUUGAGUUGCUGUUUCUGCCAUGCGGAUUGAGAGGUCGAUUGCUUCGGUGAUCUUGAAGCUCUCCUCUUCGCAGGUAUACGCAGUGUAAACGUUGCCUCUGACGGUUAGGACACCCUUCUCCGUAGGCAUCUUAAGGACCAGGUAUGAGUAGUGCGGGACUGCCAUGAACUUUGUCAGCGAUGGUCGGCCCAGUAUAGCGUGAUAGGUCCCUCGAAAUCGGCGACCACGAAGUUGAUGAACUCCGUCCGGAAGUGGUCGGGUGUGCCGAAUUGGACAGGCAAUGUUAUCUGUCCAAGAGGCACUGAACUUUGACCCGGCAAAACCCCCCAGAAUUGGGCGUCGUAAGGUUUUAGUUGUGCAGGAGAUAUCUUGAGGGCGGGCAGGCUGUUGCCAAAGAGGAUGUCAAUGGAGCUUCCCCCGUCCACGAGCACGCGCUCGAAUCUGAUGCUGUUGAUGCAAGGGUCCAGAAUCAGGGGGAAACGACCCGGCUCUGGGAUAGCGGCCCACUGGUCCUUCCUGCUGAACGAGAUCUCCCUGUGGGACCACGGAGGGAAUUUUGGGUCCGCGGUCAGCCCGUCCGUGCUGUCUAUGUUGAGGCAGGCUCUCUUUAACAGCUUUCUUUCUCGCUUAGAUUCAAUGGAGACCUUGCCCCCGAAAAUGGAGUGGACCACGUCGGUGGGGCUGACGUACUGGUGUCGGGGGUCCCUAUCUUGGUCCUCGUCCUCAUCUUCGUGGUCGUGCCCGUCUCGCUUGUUGUUUUUCUUGGCGGAGUCGUCUUGGGCGGCCCGCUGUGUAUAGAUGCUUUUGAGGACGCGGCACUCUUCCAUGGUGUGAUUAGACUUUGGGUGCAGUUGGCAUGGUCCCUUCAACGUUUUGUUGUAGUCUUCUUAGUAGUCGCGUCGUCCGUUGGGACGCUUGACCGUGUUUACUUCGUGAUCGUAGUCGCGAGGGCGCUUUCGUCUGAAAUCGUCGCGGUUGUCGUGCCGCCGAUCCCAACCCUCUCGGUGAUCGCGGUUGUCGGAGCGGCGGUGACUUCUGCUGUCGUAGCGACCACGACCAUCAUCUCGCCGGGGAGGCUGGUCGGGACCUCUCGCAUCGUCUCGGAUUAGUUUUUCUGCGUCGUCGGCAUCGGCGUAAUUUUUGGCCGUGGCGAGGAGCUCUGCUACCGUUGUUGGACGUUUACGCAGCAGCUUGUUCCUCAGAGCUUCGUGGAAACGCAGACCCUUGAUGAAGGCUGAGAUGGCCUCGUCGUGGGAAAUCUUCAGGAUUUUGAGGCGCAUAUCCGAGAAUCGUCGGAUGUAAUCGCGCAGGGGUUCGUUCUUCCUGUCCCUUAUCCUUUCGAGGUCAUACUUGUUUUCGGGCUGCUCGCAUGUGGCGAUGAAGUUGUCGAUGAAAGCCUGGCGUAGCUCUUCCCAAGAGUCGAAGGAGUCCUCGGGCAAGCCAAGAAGCCACUGAUGACCAGCCUGGUCGAGGACUACGGGGAAGUAGUUAGCCAUGACGUGCUCAUCCCCUGCCGCUGAUCGGACGGCGAUUUCAUAGAGGGUGAUCCAGUUCUCUGGAUUUUCCUUGCCGUCGUAUUUUUUAAGUUUUUCGAGCUUGAAAUUGCGGGGCCACACGACCUGGCGGAGGUGUGAGGAGAACUGUCUUAGGCCCGGAGGACCGUGCGUUGCAUCGUACUCGAUGCGGCGCAGGUUUUCGUGGACUGCUCUCUCUGCGGCGCGCCUGUUGAUGCGGUCCCGGGCAUCUUUGGGAGGGAUGUUGUGGCGGAGAUCCCUGUGCUGGUUUACUUCUUGGCCGCGUACGCGGUUCUGCUUGCGGCGACCGUCGGCGUCCCGACCACCAUCGUCGCGCCGUGAGUCCCCUCGACGGUUGUCGGGGGAGCGGCUGCGGUGACGCCUGCUGGGAGACGGUGAGGCCCGGCUACGAUUAGUCUGGUCAGAGGCGGCUUCCGUAUAAGAGACGUCCUGGACUCUCUUGAGCAGAGUGGCUGUCUGUCCCAUUGCAGCGAUCAGGUGUGCUCGGAUGCUGGUCCAGACUCCCUGGCAUUCGGGGGUAUCAGGAAGCCGAUCUAGGUUAGCCAUGGCGACAGCCACGUUGGCGCUUGGCGUUUUGUAGACUGGCUGGUCCCCGACCAUGUCAAAGGCAUCGUUGAGAUUAUUUGGUGGCAUUUGUUGUUGCUCGUCUGCGCGUCGUCGGGUGCGAUCGGCGUUGCGCUGUUCGCGGAGUUGCCUCUGGUCAUCUGUUUCUCCAUCAACGACCGGUUCGUCGGCGCUGACAUUGAACACAAUAUCCCCUCGCCGGGGGGAAAUAUCGGGAAUCGGUUGAAACCCGGAGGGUGUGAAGGAAAAUCCAGGUCGUAGUCCUCGUCUUCGGUGUUUAUAACCUCGGUGGGGACGGAACCAGUGCUUGAGUUGGUGCUGGAAACCUAGCCGUCCCGUAGUUCUCGGAUUGUCACCAUGUUGACGUAGUGACGAUCGUUCCUUGUCGGCGACCAACCCGCCUUGCUGAAAACGGAUUGGGUGUGCUGUGAGUAAACAGAGGCCGAGUUGUUCAGGCCGCAAGGAUAGUCUUCCUUCUUGAGCUCGACGGAUCGUCCUGAGGGUGUUGAGGUUAUCGUCAGAGACGUUCCCAGCCAUUCGUGUGUGGCGACACGAGUUGGCCGGCGGGAUUUGAAAAAAUCCGCUGGAGCAGCUUGGUCGGGCCGACGCAGAACUCCGUCUACUAGUUGGGAAACUUCGAGUAGCUUGGAGUCAGCGCGAUCAAGCGCUUGGAGAAGGUCCGAGCUGUCGAUCUUCUUUCCCUUGUAGAGCGGGAACGGUGGUCGGGCGCUCGGUGCCGCCACGUGUGUGGUCGGAGAUGGCGUGAUCUCAGAUUGGAUCUGGGUCUCUUUCGAAACCGUGGUCGUGAGGCCGCCGCUGCACGUCGUCCACGUGAUCUGGCCAACGGUGAACGUGAGGCCUUCAGGCACGGUCGCGGAAGCUGGGAUCGUGACCAUCUUGUUCGCCGAAAAAGUUGCACGCACACCCCCUACCUGGCGCGCCACUGUCGACGAAAGCUGGUCGGCAGUCUACCUUGGGGUAUACCCACGGUAGUAGUUUAUCGGUAGACAGUGCGCAAACUACGAACUCGAUGGUGACGCAAGACACGGACGAGCUUUUUAUCCAGGUUCGGCCGCCGAGUUGGCGUAAUACCUACGUCCUGCGUCUGGUUGUAUUGAUUUGUGUUGAGAGAAUAUGAUGUCCUAGGGGGGUCCCUUGCCUCUCCUUAUAUAGUCUGAAGGGCAGGGUUACAGAUCUGGAAACUAAUCCUAGUCGGUUACAAUUGUCAUAGAUAGUUCGAUAUCAAUUCCUAUUCUAACCGACUAGAAUUCUGCUUGAUCUCCACAUCUUGCUUCCUUGUGCGAAACUCCAGGCUGUCGGAUCAAGCCUUGAACUCGUCUCGUAAUGGGCCAAGCCUCCUGGCCCAAGUCUAGCCGUAAGGGUAUAGGGGUCUAUCCCCCCACACCGAUGGAAAGCAGUGGCAAGAUUUCAAUGACAACCACCGAGACUUUGCCAGCGAACCAAGGAAUGUUAGGUUCACACUGUGUACAGAUGGAAUGAAUCCAUUUGCUGAGAGGAGCAGCAAGCAUAGCACAUGGCCGGUGAUUCUCACCAUCUACAACCUCCCUCCAUGGUUGAUGCAGAAGCGAAAAUACCUUUUGCUAACCUUACUUAUCUCUGGACCAGCUCAACCUGGAGUUGACAUGGAUGUUUUCUUGGAGCCAUUGAUGGAGGAAAUGAAAAUGUUAUGGGAAAAAGGUGUUCAAAUGUUGGACGAGUAUCACAAAGAUUCAUUCACGCUAAGAGCAAUUAUUUUUGUUACUAUCAACGAUUACCCUGCUCUCUUUAUUUUAUCAGGGCAAUUCAAGGGAAAGGUUGGUUGCGUGGUGUGCAUAGAUGGAACCCAUUAUGUGUCCCUUAAUGCAUCUAAGAAGAUAGUGUACAUGAGGCACAGACGCUUUUUAUCGAAAGGACACAAGUACCGCCUGAAAAAUAUGGAUAAGUACUUUGACUAUAAUGAUGAAAGGAACUCAGAUGCACCAUUAGGUAAUAGCAAAGGCCAUAGAGUUUUCAAAAUAGUGAGCAACAUUAAAUUUGUGUUUGGAAAGAAGACAAAGGAUGGAAAAUUAAGAAAGGAUGUCAAAUCAACUCCAGGGGCAACAUUCAAGAAGAAGUCCAUUUUCUUUGAGUAUUUGCCAUACUGGAAAGACUUGGAUGUACGACACGCGAUCGAUGGUAUGCAUGUCCAGAAGAAUGUGUUCGAAAGUCUAAUUGGCACAUUGCUAGACAUCAUGACCAAGACAAAGGAAGGACUUAAUUCACUCUUUGACAUGGUGCAGUUAGGCAUAAAAAAAGAGCUUCAUCCUGUUCUUCAAGAAAAUGGGUAGUACCAUCUCCCAGCAGCAAGCUACAACCUCAACAUAGAUGAGAAACAUGCGAUGUGUGAGUGGUUGAAGAAAUUGAAAGUCCCAUCUGGAUUCUGCUCUAGCAUGCGGAGUUUUGUGUCAAUGAAAGACCUAGCACUCACCAACUACAACUCACAUGAUUGUCAUGUCAUGCUGACUACUUUCCACCCUAUUGCAAUAAGGGCUAUAAAUCCAGUAUUCUUAAAGAUGGCAGUCACACGAUUGUGCUACUUUUUCAACAAGAUCACACAAAAGGUAAUUAACCGUGAUGAGUUAGAAUCCCUUCAGGAAUUCGCAGUGGAAACAGUGUCACAAUUUGAGAUGUGUUUCCCUCCAUCAUUCUUUGAUAUCAUGGUGCACCUUGUGGUGCACUUGGUUCCACAAAUACAGGCACUGGGUCCCAUGUACCUGCAUGAAAUGUGGACUUACGAGCGUUUUAUGUCAAUACUAAAUGGCUAUGUAUCAACUCGUGCUCGUCCUGAGGCGUCCAUAAUAGAGGGGUAUUGUACCGAAGAGGCGAUUGAGUCCGGUGGACCAUUCUACAAUAAUGUCCUAAAAGACCAGGUUGCAAUAGGUUUUCCUCCAUCAAGACAUGAGGGUAGGCUACAUGGAUGUGGGAGGAUUGGACAAAAAUCAUUCAUCCCACCAGAUUACAAUACAAUACUUGAGGCACAUCACAACAUCUUACAUCAGCUCUCGAUAAUGGAGCACUUGAUUGAACAACACAUGGAUGAGCUUCGAGAACAUAAUCCUAGGCAAACAGAGGAUUGGGUAAUGAAGGAACACAAGAAACAGUUGUACACAUGGCUAAGGGAGCAGGACAUUCCAUAUGGGGAAACAAUUGAGAAACAAACCAUCAAGGCUUUGGCAUCUGGACCAUCACGCCAAGUCAUAACAUGGCAAACCUAUGACAUAAGUGGAUUCACAUUUCAUACCAAGUCUAAGGACCAAAAGAGCAUGACACAAAAUAGUGGUGUUCGAUGCGAGGCCGUAGAGGACAUAUGGGAACUAGACUAUGGUACAUUUUAGAUCCCUGUGUUUCGAUGUCAAUGGGUUGAAGAUAAACAUGUCACAGUGGAUAAUUAUGGGGUUAGAGUUCUUGAUCUAGGUAAGGUGGGAUAUAAAGAUGACCCAUCGAUCCUUACUAAUCGUGCUGCACAGGUUUUCUAUGCUGAGCAUAUCCUUUCUAAGAAUGAGAAGAAAAGUACCGACAAACCGAAGCAUGUAGUUUUUCCAGGAAAGCAACAAGCAGUUGGAGUUGACGGUGUAUCGGAUCUAGAGGAUUUUAACCAGUUCAGUGAUAUGUCCCUCUUUGUGGACCAUCCUAUGAAGAUAAAAAAUAUUGAGCGAAGCAUCCCACAGAGUUCUUUGCCAUGGGUGCGCCCUCAUGGACAAGGAAGAAUAGUAGCGGCCUAGAUUGUAUCUUUGAUUCAUCAUGUAAACACUUUGUUAAAUUCAAAAAUGUCCUAUUUAUGAAAUGUAUAUCUUGAUGAGUGGAAUAAACUUUGUAUUCAUGAUUUUUCGAGUUGGGGACGUCUCGGGUUUCGAAAACGUGCGUGUAGCUGUGGAAAUUUGAAAUUUCAAAAUUUGAGUGGUCCAAACUCUCUCAGAUGAAAAGUUGACCCUUACACACAAUGUGUAUCUUGAUGAGCUGGACAAACUUUGUAUUCAUGACUUUUGUAUCUGAGGCUACCAAGGGUCCGGUCAAAGUGACUUUUCAUAAAAAAUCCAAGAUUUGACUUGGUCAAACUAGGUCAAACUAGGCACUAAAUGACCUCAAAUGAAAAACUUUUGAAUACAUGGGUGUUAGAGCUCCUCAAGAAACACAUUCCAUACAUAGGAUAUUUUGACAUUUGGGAAAGGAUUGGUAAACUCUAGUCACAAAGUGUUGAAUGUGACACAAACUUUAUGAAACUAUAUGUGAGACUUGUGGAUUUAGAACUACACUUUUGAAACGCUUUGUCAAAUGCAAAAAUGUCCGAUGUAUGAAAUGUAUAUCUUGAUGAGUGGAACAAACUUUGUAUUCAUGACUUUUCGAGUUGGGGACGUCUCGGGUUUCGAAAACGUGUGUAGUUGUGGAAAUGUGAAAUUUCAAAUUUUGACUAGGUCAAACUAGGUCCAACUGGUCACUAAAAGUCCUCAAAUGAAAAAGUUUUGAAUACAGAGGAGUUAGAGCUCAUCAAGCUCUACCUUUCAUACAAUAUGCAAUAUGCAUUUGAAAUUUAAAAUAUUAUAAAAAUAAUAUAUAGGUGUAAAACAAUAUAAUUAUAUUAUAAUAUCAUUAUACAAAUAAUAUAUAAACACUAUAAUUAUGUUACCAAUAUAGAAUAUAGAAAUAAUUAUAUUAAAAUAUUAUUAUAUUAUAAUAUCAAUAUACAAUAAAAAAUAUUAACCAAAAAUAUAUAAAACAAUAAUAAUAAUAAUAAUUACAAAAAACUUUGUACACGCGGGUGGUAUUGACCACCGCCUGUGUAGAGCUAUUUCUACAGGCGGUGGUCAAUGGCAACCGCCUGUAGAAAACGUUUUCUACAGGCGGUUGCCAUUGACCACCGCCUGUAGAAAUGAUUUCUACAGGCGAUGGUCAAUGCCAACCGCCUGUAGAAAUGAAGGCCAUAUAUACCCCGCGCGCAGACCCGAAAUUUUCUAAGUCUCAAGACGCCAGUCUCUGUUCAAACUCACGCCGCCAGGCUGCCCAAUUUUCCGACGAGCUCAUCGGCGCACCGCCCUUCUCCAUUCAUCGCCGGCAUCUACGCUUGCACGGGUUGAGGUAAGCUCCCCGGCUGUGACGGGUGCGGGUGCGACGCGACUGCGGCGGGUGCGGCUGCGCGCGGCGGCCGCGGCUCGCCGGCGGCGACGCGGCGAGUGCGGCCAGCGUGGGGGAGUCGAGGCGGCGUUGGGAGGCGGGGGGAGUCGAGGCGGCCAGGGCGUCGGGGUGGUCACCCGAGGCGGUGGCGGCGGCGGCCUUGCGGCCGGGGCAGAGGGCGAGGGUGAGAGGGAGGUGGAGGGGCAGGGGCCGGUGGGCCGCGUGCCCAGCUGGGCCGGCCCACCAGCGGCCAGUUUAGAGUUUUUUCUUAUUUUUUAUUUUUCUCAUAUGAUGUAUAAAUGUAUUAUUAAUUAUUAAUUGUCAUAAAUAAUUAUUAAUUAUUCUAAAUAAAUGUAUAUGAUGUAUUAUUAAUUAUUAAUUGUCCUAAAUAAUUAUUAAUUGUCCUAAAUAAUUAUUAAUUGUCCUAAAUAAUUAUUAAUUAUUUAUUGUCCUAAAUAAUUAUUAAUUAUUACUGGUCUUAAAUAAAUCUAUAUGAUGUUUUAUUUUUCUUAUAAUUAUUAAUUGUCCUAAAUAAUUAUUAAUUGUUCUAAAUAAAUGUAUAUGAUGUAUUAUUAAUUAUUAAUUAUCCUAAAUAAUUAUUAAUUAUUCAUUGUCCUACAUAAUUAUUAAUUAUUAAUGGUCUUAAAUAAAUCUAUUUCAUGUUUUAUUUUUCUUAUAAUUAUUAAUUGUUCUAAAUAAAUGUAUAUGAAGUAUUAUUAAUUAUUAAUUGUCCUAAAUAAUUAUUAAUUGUCCUAAAUAAUUAUUAAAUGUGUAUGAUGUUUUAUUUUUCUUAUAUACAUUAUGCAUAUGCUAAGUAGUUAUUAUUUAUUUUUUAUAAUGCAAUUAUUUACAAUGCAAUUAUAUAUAUAUAUAUGUAUGUAUAAAAAUAAUAAACAAUUAAUAUUUGCUUUUAGUUUAAGUGUCUAAGUAAUUAUUAUUUCUUUCUUUAUAAUGAAACUAUUUAUAAUGCAUGAUGCAUAUGCUAAGUAAUUAUUUGAAUAGAUUAUCACGAUGGCUUCUCCAACCCCAAACCAAGCGUCAGGGUCUGACCGCAUCGACCAAGCACCGGCAAAAGGUUCGGACCACACAGAGAAGGUGCAAGUGUCACACAGCACCGAGCAAGCGCAAGGGUCGGACCACACGGAGAAUGCAAAAGAACGUGAAUCAAGUCCUUCGUACGAGACCUCCCCUAGCGACAUUCCAGAUCCUCGUAUAGAGAGGAACGCUCGUCGUGAAUUAGAACGUGACCUUGAUUAUAUUCCAGAAGUAGAUGAGGUGAUGAAUUAUUCAUCCAUAAUUAAAUCUUUCUAACUUUUAUGUCGCUCAGUAUAUGUACAAGAAUGAUUUAUGUGUUUAACUUUUAACAUGAACAAGAGGUGUUAUCUCAGUUUCAUGAGCUGAAAGAGAUCCUAUCCCAGGAAGAAUUCACACAUGAAGGUGCACCCGAACCGACGACGGAGACAACCACCGAGAAGACCACCGAGAAGACUGAUGAUAGGAAAAGGAAACGAGGUGACAGAGGAUAGAAUCAGUUUUCAAAAGUUACGUUUAGAAUUACAGAUGUGAGCCCGACAGGACAACCCCUAGCUCCUCCAGAGGCCUUACCUAAGUGGCGUAACUUGGAUUCUUAGUUAGGGACCAUCUUGACAUCACAGUCAGGGAGUGGGCAAAUGUGGACUAAAAUGAAAUCACAAGAAUAUAGGACAAGCUACUUACAAGGUUUGUUUUACCUCAAGGUUCAGAAGACCUAGUAAAGGAGUACACAUUGAAGCAGUGGGGAAUCAUGUUUAGGAAUUACAAGUCCGAGUUGAAUUCUAAGUGGGCAAAGAAAGGGUUGGACCCGACAAAAAGGUAUAAAAUCACUGCUGGUCAGUGGGUGGUGUUUCUAGAGCAGAGAAGUACCGAGGAGUUCAAAGCUUUGAGCGAAUCUAAAUCUGAGCUCGCAAAAAGGAACAAGUACCACCAUCAUUUAGGCAUAGGUGGUUACCAGCGCAAGCUUGCCCAAUGGGAGCAAGAGGAUGAAGCACAGAGGGCUAAGGGUCUGCCAGCGCUCCCUGGCCAACUUGGUCGCAGGGGCUCGAGGUGGAUUCGUGCUCGUGUACCGGCAAAGAAAGCCAAGUCUGGCUUAUCAUUUUCUGACCCAAUGGUCGAAGAGGCAGCGAAGAAUAUUUUCGUUGUGGCAGCUAAGCAGCAAGCGGGCGAAUUUAAGCCUCAAAGGGAGAAAUAUGUCCUUACUGUUGCUCUGGGUAACCCAGAGCAUUCUGGUCGUGUACGAGGCAUCUCAUCAAAAGAAGGAUGGAAAGAAGGCUUCGGACCAGAGUGGGAAGCAAUGUAUGGAAAACGGGAUCGCUACAAGGCAGAAAUAUCUAAUUAUUUUAAGGAGGAGGCUAAGAGAGAAGUCGAAGAGGUGAUGUCUAAAAUCCUCUCCAAUCCUCCUCCUGAGUUGAUGCAGCGAUUGGCGACCGCAAUGUCUAGCCAAUUAAGUGGCCAGCAGCCUCCUCAAAUGCAGCUAGUCGUCGCCCCGACAACAACAGAACAAGCUCCGGUCGUCCCAAGUAGUAUUGCCUCUAUCGAAGACAAGGUCCGCUAUCCAGUUGAUGAGAUCGAUAGUCCUGUGCCUUGCUCCCUAGUCAUAAGGUAUGGUUUUAACAAUAACCGUACAAGGGAAGUAGCCACAGGACUUGCGAUCCUGGGGCGUCAAUUCCAUGGUAGUGAGAUCCCUGAGGACUACUGCAGGGUGGAAGUGUUGACAGUUGUCCAAGGAUAUGAGGACGACAUGCUAGACAUUCCUAGUCCCGAGGGCAUUGAGAAGGUGGGACAAGCUAUCAAGAAUUUUAUUCUUUGGCCUCGACGGGACGUCCUGCUGUCUCAGGUACCAGAACCAUCACCCCGAGAAGUGCCGCAGACUCAGGAGUCGUCCCAUCCCACAUCUCUUCCCACUCCACCAACCUCUCCAAUCUUGCAUCCACAAUCCCCACCACCACCAUCACCAAUAAUGCCUCAACCACCAUCCCCGCCAUCAUCAAAACCCACUCCCCCACCAUCACCUAAACCUCAGGCUUCACCACCAUCACCUAAACCCCAUGCUUCAACACCGCAAUCUUCGACACCACUGGCACCCAAAAAUGAUGAUAAGACACCACCGCAACCAAAGAAAACAAAAUUCUCGGUCCCCAAAUUGGUUUCCCCGUACGAGCCAAAGAAGAAGGCCGCUGGUACGGCCCUAUUUUUGUCCAGAAUUGCAAGGAGCCGCACUUCAAAACUUGUUGACUUAGCAGAGCAUGAGAAGGAGGGGUCAAAAAGCUGUGAAACACGUAUUGUCAUUAUCAGGCCACCAACGAAGGAUGAUUACAAAUUUGUCCCUACUAAAUAUGAGCCAGGCAGACCACUACUUAGUUGGGACAAACUCAAAAAGAUCCCAGCUGGUAUAAAAAGGAUGCAUGACUGGUAUAUGAGAGCAGCUUCUGUAGGCAUUGACACGAUCAAUGUGAUUAUACCACCAACAACAUUCAACAGUGAGCGUACAAAGGCAAUCGUUACCUUCGAGGACAUGUGGCUAAUGAUGAACCUGCAGAGACUAGACGUGCAGCUGGUAACUGUGUUUGCAUUGUAAGUGUCACUCGUACUAUCUUGUGUUAUAAUUUAUGAGUUGCAUCAAUUUUCAACAUCUAACAUACAAGUGCUCAUUGUAGAAUGAAUUUUGAACAACAAGAGAUGCGGUACGGUUCAGAUCCGGAUAGGUCUGCCAAUAAAAGGGUUGCGUAUCUGAGCCCGAUGAAGAUAUGCGAGGAGCAGCACAACUUCAGAAUCGGAGACAAACAUGACUCCUUAGAAGGUUUGGAUCCUGCUGAGCGUAAGAAAAUAAUAGAUGAAAAUCGACUAGAUUAUGAAUGUAAAUACGACCUCUACAUAGCCUUGGCACUGCUCAAGUAUAAAGAUCGAGAAUGUGUUGUUGCCCCAUAUAACUUUGGGUAAGUGUCAAUUUGUAUUCAUCAUCGUAUUAGUAAUUUCAAUGGGCACUUGCAUCAUAAAUUCGAUUCUCUCAGGACCACUGGAUCUGCCUCCUCAUUAAUCCUAGUCUAGGACGUGUGCUAGUCCUAGACUCUGCAGACUAUGAUCCUUCAAGUUAUGCAAAAUUCAUUACACACUUGGAACGGUAAGCUGAGUACAUGUUGGGUAUUUUAAACGCAAACAGAAAAAUCCGCAAGCGCACAGAUACCGAUGUAGCUUUCACCCGGGAGUAUUCCAGAGUAUCGAUUUUCCACAGAGAACGUGAGUGUACUAAUUAAGAUCCAAAAUCGCCUAAGGAUAACUAUAUAAUUGUUUUUGGUGGGAAGAGAGAAAGUUUCCUGAGAGUUUUCUAAUUGAUCUAAGAAUCAAGAAUUACUUCAAGAUUAUCUAUUUCGGGACAUCAGAACACUAACCACAGAAAGAGAUGAGAAGGGGGCUAGGAAGCUCCGACUACGGUCCUACAAACACUGAUCUGAACGACGUGGAAUACGUCGACCGUUAGGGCUGCCACUACCCUAAGGCUACCACAACAAUCCGCAGGAUUGGGUGCAAUUCCAGGUAAUUGCAAGACUAAACACCACGUCCAAUCUAUUAAUUACUACUCUAGCGUUAUAAAGACUAGAGCACUUGAUGCAAGCGGGAAUCCAAUAAAUAACUUGAAUGUAAAUAAAAGUAAUUAAAGAACUCAGGAAUUAUGAAUUGAAGAACUUGGAGAACGAUGAAGAACGAACCAGUUGCUGCAAAAGUAUAAUGUUGAGGAAGAUCCGACAGAUCCGGCUCCUCCUCCUUCGCUCUCCUCUUCUCUCUCCCUAUUUUCUAGAUUACAACUAGAACUAACUAGAACUAGAACUAGAGGAACUAGAACUAGAACUAGAUGAACUAGAACUAGAACUAGAACUAGAUGAACUAGAGGUAGAACUAGAAGAACUAGAGGGAUCCUCUCUACUUGGAUGAAGAAUUGAAACCCUAACUUUGAUUCUGUAGAAGAGGUAUGCUCUCCAGGGGCCAGGGGGCCUUGCUUAUAUAGUCUUUUCAGAUGAAUCUGGACCGUCGGAUCAAACCGACAUUAAUCGCACGGUUUUCCUUGGUCCCUUAGGUCGGUGGAGCACGAUCCGCGAAGUUGAAGCUGAUUGGUUACUGUAGCUGGGCGGGCACCCUGCCCCCGGGCCCGAUCGGCCUCCCGUUCGUUCCCGUGGCUUCUGGAGUCUUCUAGAUGGUAGAAAAUUGCGCGGCAUGUUAAUAUCUCUAUGUAAACCCGACGUGUGGGCCUUUCUUUCAUAUUUCCUGAUAACCCCCUGCAGAAAUAGACAAACACCAAAACUCAUGGAAUUCUGUCAGAUAAAACCCUAAGUCUAGGUGUUGGCUGCAUAUAAGUCCUUUUCCAUGAUUAGUUGAUGGUUAAAUGUGAGCAUUAAGGACCGUCAACAGUACAUUAAAUAUUCAUACCUACUUUUAUAAGAGUUUCAGACUAACUUGAGGAUUGUGUAUUCGAUACUAUAGGGCCUAUAGGUAUUAUAAGAUAAAAGGUGGAAGGUGUGAUUCAUCAGAACCGGGGCAACCAUUGAGAUUAUUUUAUAAAUGGCCGGUACGUACCAAAAUAUCACAAGCUAUCUUUUAUAAAUAUAAUAUGCAUAUGACGAUGUUGCAACUAAUAAAUGUCCACUUUUUCUUCAUACAUCAGUGCCAUAAGCAACCAGUCGGAUCGGUCCACUGUGGAUUCUACGUCUGCGAGUUCAUGAGAGAGACUGGAAGAUAUGUAACUAACCCUUCUAAGGUAUUGCUCUAAUAGUCGUUUAUAUAAUUGUGUCAUUUUUUGUUGCUAAGCAUGUGUUAUAUUAACUAUAAAUUUAUGAUGUUUCUAACUUCCUCUGCAGCAACAUAAGUUGGAAAAGGCGAAGAGCGUGACUCAAGCUGUUCUAUACAACAUAGUUGAGGACCUCUGCAAUUUUCUCUUGAGAGAAGCCAUUCCCACCGAAGGGAAAUAUCACGACCCGACCAGCGUCCUAGCAAAGCCUGAGUUUUGAGCGCUAAGAGAUAUUAGCAGGCUAAAGCUAUCUCGAUCGGGUUAUUAGAACAGAGGUUUCAGAUGUGAAACCUCAUAUGUCUGUAAAUAAAAAACUUUGAUGUGUGAUGUUUGUAAUUAAUAUAAUUUUAUGUACAAAGUAAUGGUAUAUAUAAAUAUAUUGCAUGUUGCAUUGGAUGAAUCUUGUAGCCUAACAUAGUUUCAAUAUUAAUGUAUAUAAUAUAUAUAUAAUAUUAAAAAUAGGGUUUGCAGAAAAUUAGGGUUAAAUUGGAAAAUCUUACCACAGGCGGUUGCCUGUAGAAUCCAAUUACUACAGGCGGUUUACAUAAAAGAACCGCCUGUAGAAAUUGAUUUCCACAGGCGGAUCUCAUAACUGAACCGCCUGUAGAAAUCGGUUUCUACAGGCGGUUCUCAGUUAACCGUCUGUGGAAACUUUUAUUUCCACAGGCCUAUAGCUACUGGCGGUUCGUCAAUCCGCCUGUACAAAGGGGUUGCGAACUGUACUAGUGACAACUACACUGAUCAGAGCCCACACUUAGAAAGUUGGAGUAAAUAUCUGCUGGGAGGGAUGGAGAAGAGUAGUAUUAUAAGGACCCAGUAAAAAUAAAAGAAGUAGCACUCCAUCGAAGUAGUAGUCAUCCAGCUGCUGACUCUCUCCACUCAAAGUUGAGGCCUACUUGUAUACGCUGACACAUAAUCUAUUUUGCUAAAUGCAAAUAUUAUAAAUAGUAUUAAUUAUUAUUACAGGGAGCAAGUUAUACCAUCGGCAUGAUGUAUGAAGGAAAAUGGAAGAACCCGAUAUCACAUUUAUGAAGGACAGGCAAGUCAUAUAGAUGACACAUCGAUUUUUAUAAAAAGAACUUAAUUUCAAAAUACUUGCAUAAAAAUAUAUUUUCUAAAUUAAACUGGACAUGAUGAUUAUGAUGGAAAAUGACUACUGGAUGACAAAUAAGUAUUCAAUAUAGAGGGAGCUCAUGGAAUGUGAUAAUGAAUUAGGGUCAGUCAAGCUCUCUCUAUAUCGACUAUGAAUAUACAAGAACUCACCCUUCUCACUCAUUAUGUGGGUCGUAUGAAAUCGUGUCGGCAAGUGAACUCUUUUGUGACGGGCCGAGUCCGGUAUCCAUGAAUGUUGUUAUAUACUCCCUAUGGUAAGUGAGGAGAGGGUUGGGUGAUGAAAUCCCCAAUCAGGUGUCGAUGAAGUACACCCAGGCGCAUAUAUUAGCGCACGUGGAUAGAUGUGGAUUUAUAUAAUAUAUGAAAGUGGAGAAAGUCACGGUAUCUUGACCAUGAGUCAUACCUAAGGAAGUGUCAUGGAAAAUUGGUCAAGGUAAUCAUGGGUAAAGCGAUACAAACCUGCGCAGGGUUAAACCGUGAAUUCACGUUAUGUCUCUUGGAUUGGAGGCUACGGGGGUCUAUAGGAGGUCCUAUCUCACUAUAUGGGUGAUAAUAGAUUUCUUAACUUGUUUUUCUAAAAUAUGCAACUUUUUGAUAAAUGAUCCUAUGAAUGGGAAUGGAUAUGACAAAUGGAUAGGAAUGCAUUUCAUUUGAUUUAUUAUAUGCUUGCUGAGUACUUUGUACUCACUCUUGCUAUUAACCCUCCCCCUUCAGAUGAGAAGAGAUAAUCUACGAUGAUGAGAUAUGCCAAGAAUUUGAUCUAAAUGGAGCCACAGGAGAAAUAUAUGAUACAAAUAAUUUUCAAGUAUAAUGUGAAGGUUUUGCUAUUAUUUUGUUUUAGGUAAUGUUUAUUAUUUUUUUUAAAUGUGACAAAUUUUUGUAAAGUCCUAACUAUGUUCUGUUGCAUCACUUUGAUUUGGGUCAUUAUUCGAGAAGACAUCACUUUGUCGAGUAAUAACCCUUAAGCCGGUAUUUUUACCUUGGUAGUGAAAAUCCCCCACACACACACAACACCCCCUACUGACUAGCUUCUGCUAAUGGAGUUUUGAAAUAGAAAUAAAACAAAACAAUUAGUGCCCAUUUGCACUCAUAUUUAUCUUGUUAUAUAUUUGUGUGUACGCCUUUUAUCUUGGGAAUACACAGUUUGAAAUUCUAACUCUACCACUGGUUUUUGAUUGUGAAUAAACCACAUGACACCCCGCAAUGCCCUUUAUGUUGGAGGCCCCUUAAGUGUUCACUCGCUUGAGAAUAAAUAUCCCUUUAGCUUAUGUACGAAUCUUGUUCUCAUUGUAGAUGAUUUACCUGUUUGGCGCAUCCCUACAAAAUAGACUACAAUAUAACUCUUAUUUUUAUUAGGAGUGUUCCACCAGUCAUUUGUGCACAUUAUUAGUGUUUCCUUUUUGAAAUUUUUAUAUUAUAUAUAAAUUGAUAAAAACCAGAGUACAAAGAUUAGAAAGUAGUCAUCAUUACAUAUUUUUUGCUCCCACAUAUACAAUGUGCACCUUUUUUGCUCCCAAAGAUUGUGAUCAAGCAAAUUGAUAAAUAUAGGAAACAUUGUUUGUGGAGAGGUUCAGACAUAAAUAGCAAAAAGCCACCAAAAGCUGCUUGGCCCCUAGUGACCCUACCGAAAAUAGAAGGUGGUUUGGGAGUCCUAAACUUAAUGUGCAGAAUGAAAGUUUGCUCUUGAAGCAUCUACACAAAUUCUACAAUAAAGCUCAAGUCCCCUGGGUCCAAUUGGUUUGGGAUAAAUAUUACUCCAGAAAUAGAUUACCAGUGCAUUCAGUGAAUUUCAAAGGGUCUUUCUGGUGGAGAGAUAUCUUGAAACUACUUUCUCUCUUUAAAGAUUUAGCUCCAGUUCAAGUUAAAGAUGGAAAAUCUUGCCUUCUCUGGUCUGAUUCAUGGGUCACUCAAAUCUGCAGUCAGGCAUACCCAGAAUUGUUCUCAUUUGCAAAAUGUCAUUCUACUACAGUUCACAUGGCUGUAACUAAUGCCCAGUUGCAUGAUCUUUUCCAUUUACCACUCUCUCAAGAAGCUUUUGGUCAAUUUCAAACACUUAGUGACAGAUUACAGUCUCUUAACCUUCAGAACACUCAUGAUCACUGGAAGUACACUUGGGGAUCCUAUUCUUUUACCUCUUCUAAGGCAUAUGAACACCUAAUUGGGCACAGAACUCUACCUCCUGCCUUUUCGUGGCCCUGGCGGUCUUCCUGUCAAAAUAAGAGGAAAUUCUUCUUCUGGCUAAUUCUUCAAGAACAACUCAACACUAGAGGUUUGCUGAGAAGGAAACAUACGCACUUGCCUAGAUACUCCUGCGUUUUCUGCUCCCUGAAUGCUGAGGAAGAUCUUCUGCACAUGUUGUUUCACUGCCCCUUCUCUUCAGCUUGUUGGAACAGUAUACAACUGCAGAUACCAAGUUCUAACGAUAUUAUGGUAAUUGUGGAAGUUUCAAAGCUCAGCUUAACCUUCCUUUCUUCAUGGAAAUCAUUGUCACAAUGUGUUGGUCGAUCUGGACUCUGUGCAAUGAUAUAAUAUUCAGACAUCUUCCCCACUCGGUACAAAAGUGUGUCGCCAAGUCUUCCGGAAAGAGUUUGCUCUAGUUUUACUAAGAGCAAAAGCACAUCUCCAACCUCAAUUAGAUUUAUGGCUAAACCUUUUUUACAUCUUAGUUUUGAUUUUCUUUAUUUCGUUCUUUCUAUCUUGAACUUUGAUUGUAGAACUCCUAUGCUAUUUAAUAAAUUUCAGUAGAGGGGUUUUCCCCCUCCUGUUUCAUCAAAAAAUAAGUAACACUAGCUCAAAAAUAUAAUGAUAAGAAAACUACAAACCUAAAAUGCAGACUCUAAGUCUUAUAUGAAACACUAUGUUACAUGUAGAGCAUCCCCAACCGUUUGGUAAAUAGGAUUUGCAUUCAUGUAUUUGCAAAAAAAAAUCUAAAAAACACCUAUCCAACAGUUUGACAAUUGGGCUUUGCAAUUUUAUUAAUUUGGCAAAUAGAUGGGAAGGACUCGCAUAUAUGCCAAGCCUCUCCGCGCUUGGCAUCGCGUCCCUCGCGCGAAAUCCAUCCCCCCCCCCCCCCCCCCCCCCCGCGCGCGUGGUCGUGCGACUACUCUCUCCUCCCGCCGUCAGAUUUUCUUUUUUGCCAAAUGAUUAAUGCCAAACUAUUGGAGAUUGUCUCUUUUCACCUUUGCCAUAUUUAUUUGGAAUUUGGCAAACUCUCUCAUUUGCCAAACGAACUAUGCAAAAUGGCUGGGGAUGCUCUGCGGUAAUCAUUUGGUUGUAGAUGACAUAAAGUUGCAGCAAUAUAUGUCACCAACCCAUAGGACGAAAACUAAGGUGCCUUCUCGCAGGGCUUGGGCUUCUCCAAAGACAAAGAAGCUAGAAAAGGCUACAUGUUUUGGUGGCUUCAACUUCGGCUUUACUGUUUUUUUUUAUCUUGGUUUUGACUUUAGAAGUUGUUCUAGUGUGCUCGGGUGGUGAAGAGAAGCUACAAUAAAAGCUCUAUCAAAACAGGCUUUAAUUUUCGAUGGAGAUGACCCAUGCAAGUGACCAGUCACUAAUCUCAAUUAAGACCUAAUCAUCCCAAUGUAUAGUUUUCUACAGCAGUUUCUAUAGAGAAACAAAUCUACAGUUUUGGCUAAUAUAACGUUGUGAAUGCUACCGAGCAUAACCAGCUGUAGUGUCUUGUGUCAUCAUUUUAACUGGUUUGUGACACAAACCAGUAAUGAAUAAGGACUCAAUAAUGCUAGCUAGUAACAAGUAACACAGCAUGUUCAUGAUUCAAAUAAACUAGGGUUGCUCCAAGUAGCUGUGGUGACUAACUUGAGCUCUCAUUUUCCAAAUACACGAAGGGGCCACUUUUGCUAGUUGUUGUUUAUUUCCAUUUAGGCCUUGUUUAGUUCACCCCAAAAAGCAAAAGGUUUUCAAAAUUCUCCGUCACAUCGAAUCUUACGGCACAUGCAUGAAGCAUUAAAUAUAGACGAAAGCAAAAACUAAUUACACAAUUUAACUGGAAAUCGCGAGACGAAUCUUUUGAUCCUAGUUAGUCCAUAAUUAAAUAAUAUUUGUCACAAACAAACGAAAGUGCUACAGUACCGAAAUCCGAAAUCUUUUCGGAACUGAGCAAGGCCUUAGUUAGUCCUAGCUCGAGGUCAAGGUCGUUGCUGGUGCGCCAUAGUGCAAAAAGAUCGAUGCUCGAUCAGUGGAUGCACAUAUAUAUUUUCUGCAUGACGAAGACCUAUGCUCGGUUGACUCGUUUCCAUUGCCGGUCUCGCACGGUAAAAGACACUGACACUCACAAACAUGCUCGAUCGGUGGAUGCACAUAUAUUUAUUUAUUUAUUCGAAUUCUACAGUAAAGACACUGACACCCACAAACAUAUGUACAUAUACACUCACAACUACUGAGUCAGCAGAUUACAUAACAUGAGUGAAGUCGAGAAUUUAAACGCGAAUAUACCGAUUCCACUAUAAGAGAUUUAACCUCUGCUAUGGUUUAUAAUCAAUUCACCUUAUUUUAUUUACUCAUCUCUUCUGAAAGAAAAGAAAACUCCAGCGCACUACCCAUUGUGACUACCAACUUUCCUGCUCGUCACUACUCGACGUCUUCAUCAUCACCCAUCAAAGAAAUUAACCGUCCACAGAAGCUAACUGACCAUUUUUUAGACAAAAAGAUGGUCUUGCAAGCCCAUUAUUUUUCCCUUUCGUUCCUAUGACUGUAAAUAUGAUCUCCAAGAUAGUAAUAAACUUUCAGCAGCAAAAAAUAUAGCGCGAAUUCAAGGGAAUCUGAAACACUACCAGUCGAUAUGGUUGUUUUUUAUUUACAAAUUAAAUACCAGUGGUUUGAGUGUUGCCUGUCUCUAUAAAUAGAGUUAAAUAGGUGUAUGGAUCAAGAUGACCGUCUCUAUUAGUGAUUUUCAGAAAACUGAAAUAAAACAUCAAACAAUUUAAGAAAAAAUCGGGACAUACCUCCCUAGUUAGGCGCAUCAUGGCAAAAAAAAAGUUACAAGUCACAUGACAACCAUCAAAUGGUUCCAAAUAAAAAUCUUUGGACCAAAAGGUUUUAGAUCUCAUCAAGCACUACAAUUUUGGUAUAGAGAUUAUCUCUAACCGAUAGCAUCUAAAAAUUUCAGGAAUUUUUUAAUGACAAAAUUUAAGAAUUACAAAUUAAAUAUUUAGGAUUUUAAAUGAUUUCAGAUAAAAACCUUGUAAACUACAAACUUAUAGAUGGUGUUGACAACUACAACUUUAGUAUAGAUCAUGUCAACAUUUGAGGUGUGAAUAUUAUAGAUUGUGAAUAUUUAUGACUAUAAAUUAAUUGAAAUAGAAAACUUAUCAGCUACAAAGUUAUUGAUCACAUUGAUAACUAGAAAAUUUGUAUAGAACAUGUCAACAUUUGAGGUGUCUGCACAUUCUAGACUUUGAAUUUCAAUAUUGACUUUAGAGACUUUAAAUAAUUCCAAAUCAAAAUUUUCAACUAUAUAGUUGUCUAUCUCGUUGAGCUCUAUAAUUUUGAUUAUAAGUUCACUUUUAUCGGACUUCAUAUGUAAGAAUUAUGAAUAUUUUAAGAUAACUAAUUGUAGAGAAUGAACCUCUAGACCUAAGAGUAAUUGGUUUAUAAAGGCGAUACACUUAAAAGCCCACCUAAGUUACAACUUCCAAGAUCGAGAAAACUCAAUCCACUGUAUAAGAGAACCAAGAAAACUAGGUGAUUUUCCGCGCAUACAAAAAAAAUGAAAUUCAAUAUACAUAUUAAAAUAUGAGCUGCAGAGACAUAUGUUCGAGAAAACUGAUCAAAUGAAAUUUACUAUGUGUACGUAGUGCCAGGCUAGAGUGACAACCUUAGGAAAAGCAAUAUCUAGUAGUUCCUAUAUUAUGUAAAAGCCUACUUAUAGUACUUGUAUUCGAUCCAACUCCGAUGUAACACCACAUGUCUGAAUAUCUCACAAAAUAUCUAGUAGGUCCUAGAUUCUUUAAGAGCCUCAUCUUGUAGUACCUGUAUUCCAACUCCAAUGGAACACCACAUGGCAGUGAUAGAACACCACAUAUGGCAGUGUUUGGGUAGGACAUGGAUGCAAUGCAACAGUUCAUGUAAAGGAAUUAGCAGAUGCGCCGCUGCAUGCAUGAAGGCUCUCUUGUCUGUGAGAUUACUUGGAGGCUUAUCCUCGUGAUGGCGAUGAACUGACCUCCCUAGAGAAGCUUAGAAGGACACAGGAUGUUGACAUGUUGUGGGUGGGAGGACUAGCUUAUGUAGACAAACUAAGUCUCAACCCUCUCAUCUACUAGCAUGCAGGCAGGCUCUACGGUUUGCAUCCCUAGCAUUUAACACACAUGGAUGGGAGAUCAGUUUUAUGAAGAUGUUGGGUCAGGACAGGUCGUCAAGUGCCAUGUUUUAGUUGCUAGUCGAUGGAAGAAAGAAGUACCCAUGUGAGGAUAGAGACUAGUAGUGAAUGCUUUCACGAAUAGACCACACAGUAUGAAACGGAGGCCACAUGAUCUAACAGAUGGAAAAAAGAAGUACCCAUGUGAGGAUAGAAGCUAGUAGUGGAUGCUUUCAUAAAUAGACCACAUGAGAUGAAAUGAAAGCCACAUGAUCUAACAACUGUAAAAUUUAGAAGUCUUUGCUUAAUGUGAAUUUGCCAGUGGCCUCUAAACCCUAAACCCUAUAUAUAUACCCUAAACCCUAUAUAUAUACCCUAAACCCUAUAUAUAUAUAUAUAUAUAUAUAUAUAUAUAUAUAUAUAUAUAUAUAUAUAUAUAUAUAUAUAUAUACACACACACGAUAAGAUCUCAAAUUGUAGGUGAAGUGUGAUGUAGGAGCAGAUUGUAAAAAUUACAUCACCUUUACAUGCAUGUAGGAACCAAAUAUCAAUCAAUGAGGGAAAAAAAAAAACUACUUUGGCUCCUCUCUUCUCUCGGCGCUGCAUCAUCCCAUCCUGUUUGGCAAGGUCUUGAGGGUGCAGUUGUGUAGUCGAUUUGGUGGCGCAGUUGUGUAGCGGCAAGCACACAGCCUCUGGUGGCAUGCUUGCUCGCUUGAUGCGAUUGCGUGACUUUAGGACGAAACGAAGGCCACAUGCUAUUUAAUUUGAAAUUUGUCAUUUCACAACUUUUCGAAGUUUAUAUAUAUAUAUGGGGUAAAUUUUUCCUACUCUCUAAGUGUAGUUACUCCCAGAUACAUGUAGUUGUAUUCUCUCCUCCGGCACACAUGACGGGAGUCAAGUUAUUAGCGGGUCUCAAUUGAGGGGAUCCGUUAAUGAUGACAUAAAACAGUCAGUGUUAUCUAAUUCUCUCUCCUCCCCAUUUAUUGGAUCGGUCACUGUAUCCACGAAGGGAAACGACGGCGACAGCCUCCACCGCAGUUCUCCUCGGCCCCUCCGCGCCCCUUCCUAUCGCCACACCACAGAACGUCACCUCUCCCCACGUCAACACACUGGCGGCAGCGACGGCCUCAGAAGGCGGCAGCCGGCGAUGGUUUCCUCGUGACUGGAUGCGACCGCGUCGCCUCCCGCACCACUCCCGGUCGCAACGACGGCGCCUGCAACCAGCGGUGAGCCCUCUUCCCUCCCUCCCGGUGACGGUUGUGGAUCUUGUGGUGGUCCCCUUCCCCUAGAAUGGCGGUGGCCCUGUUUGUUUCCCACACUCCUUGACCAGCGGCGAGCCCUCCUCCAUCCCAGCGACGGCAUCAAUGUCCAUCCCUAUCUCCUGGCAAAGGCAACGAGUCCCCUUCCCUCUGGAUUGGUUGCUAAUCUUGAUCUGUUGGUUUUGGAUUUAGGGGAAUUGUUUCUCCAUCUUGCAUAAGCAGGUCAGGGUCUGUUCUUCACGGAUGUCCUUCUGCAAGUUGUCUGUUAUUUCUGUAUUGUUGAAUACUUCUUCACAGAUUAGAGUAUUAGUUGAUACUUGCUACGAUUAGAGUACCAGUUCAUACUUGGUACGAUUAAAAAGUUUUCAUUUUCAUAUUGAUUUCAUUUGUCCACCGUGAUUACCUUUAGGGAUAAUGAUGGCGCGUUGAUAUAUGAAUUUGGGCAAGGUGAUCGGCUUCAGAUCUAAAAUCAGUUGAUUAACUUAGAUUUGCGUGAUCGCAGCUUAAGAUGUGGGAAUUUCAGCACUUUUUUAAUUAGACUUUACCAGUAGCAAUUGGGAUCUAUCUUUUCUAGAUUAUUAUUAAAGCAUCACUUUUGAUACAUCUUUCAAUAUUAUUGUAUCACUGGAUACUUUUCUCCAAAGUAGUAUUAUAUUAAUAUGUUGUUUUAAUUUAUUUUUCCAAUUUUUGUUCAUAGUCUUUUGGUUCAAGUACGUUACGUAUUAGUUCAUACUGCUACAGUGAUAUGAUAAUCUCUAUGAUUGUUCAUCAUGUAGGUGCCAUGAUGAGCAGGGAUGUUGAGGAUAUAUGUCAAGACGCCGCCUCUGAGCGAGACUGGAUCAAUGGCACCUGCAAUUCCAUGGUUCUGUUCUCCUGAUGAGAGUAUCAAAGUAUCAUCUGAUACUUUUUAGACUAGAGUAUCCUUGGAUACUUCAGAUUAGAUUAGAUGUAGCAUCACUUCAUGAUCUUUUUUAUAUCGUGGUAUAGUUGAUAAAAAAUUCUUUUUUUAGAAACAGGGAGAAGACUACUCCAAUCUAAUAGUAUGAAAAUGUUAUCUUUUUCAAAGAAGUAUGCAUACACACUACUUUUAAAAAAGUAUGAAUAUGUACUCCUUUGAUGAAAAAAGUAUGUAUAUAUACUCCUUACAAAAAAAGUAUGAAUAUACUACUCCUCUUACCCAUGUACUAUGUAUGUAGACAUACUUCCACUAAACAUGUAUGCAUUCAUACAACCCACGGUCACAGACCGUGUACAUACACAUACUCCCACAAACCAUGUAUGUACACAUACUCCUUGCAUGCGAAAUUUCAAAUACUAGCACAAGUUUGAAAAGCGGUAACCAACAGGUGUGCUAGCCAACCGAAAAUAAUGGGUCACGUGUGCAUGAAAAAUUAUUUAUUAACUAAUUAACUAAAUCACCUAGAUUGCUUCUUAAUGGAUCUUUGGAAACCCGUUAACUGCUGCAGCGCCCUUCUCAACCUGCACUACAUGCAUGGCCGGGAGAGAGAGUGUGUGUGUGUGUGUAUAUAUAUAUAUAUAUAUAUAUAUAUAUAUAUAUAUAUAUAUAUAUAUAUAUAUGCGGUCGUCUAUCAUAUCAGAGGAAAGUUUGCCAACCCACUGGGCUUGCUGGCCAACACUCAAAUUACUGGGUCUGCUCUCCAAACCCAGCAAACAAAACAAACAGAAAAGAAAAGAAAAAACAUUAUAAAGGGAAAUCGCUGGCUCCGCUGCUAUAAAUAUGGCCUCCAAGAUCACAAAGCUUCAGCAAGCAGCAGCAGCUAGAUAGCAUAUACUCAAACUCGCAGAAACCCAAGGGCCAAGCAGCAGCUAGCUAAGCAGCCAAAGUUCGAUGGCGUCCAUCACCAAAACCGCCUGUCGUUUCCUCCUGCUCACACUGUUCGUCAUCUCCGCGGCGAUCUUGCCCACCUCCGUAUGCCAUGGAGCCCGCCUUGGCGUUGGUUAGCUAUUCGAUUCUAAACUGAUCCUCUACUGUUCGUCCUGUAACAUCGAUCUAACAGUUUGUGUACUCCUAAUAACUGGUUUUUUAUGAAAAGAGGAUUAUGUACUCCUAAUAACUGGUGAGAAACUACGCAUCAUUUGACAUGAUUUCCAAUUUUUCCAUGGUUAUAUAUCAAGGUAUUGGCCGCGGCGCUUUGGAGCCUGACCAUCCUGCUGUAUGCGGCAUGGGGGAGGAGUGCCCACCUCGUGGACGUCCCUACUUUCCGUUUCCCCGUCGCGGUGGCGGGCCUGGUGGCUCCUACCCUGAGACACCGCUUCCCCAAUUGAACGGAGAGAAACCACGUCACUGAUGGGCUGCCUCGGAUCACGUACGCGUCCUCCAUCUCGUAUGGUAUGCAGCAGUGCCCAGACGGAUGGCCAGAUACUAGUAAAACUCAAAGAUGGAACGAUGCACCGCGCACGACUGCAUGUUAGCUACGCAUGCCAUGUACUUGUGCAGUUGUGCUUAUAUAUAUAGCAGUAUGGAGAAUAAAACUAAUGGAGUCGAAAUGUCGAAUGGUGAAAAAUUCUUCUCCAGGAUGUCAUGAAUAUGUCAUUGAGUUUUUCUUUUUUUAAAAAAAAAAGAUGACAUGAAAAUGGAAGGAAUGCGAACGUAGAGCUUUCAGCUCAGAAUAAAGACAAACGGCGACGACUACAAGAGGCCGGAAAAGAGACAACUGAUGAGGAACGGAAGGGCAAGAAAACAAAAAAAAAGGUUCAUAUAGAUCUCUUGCAAAUGCAGAAAGAAAAAAAAAAGAGUCGUAUGGGCUCGCCUCAAGACCAGUUUUGGAGACUAAGUGUCAACAUAUUUCACUAAAAGUUUGUGGCAUUAUUUUUCCAAUAGAUAGAAUGGCUGAUACAAAUACUUUUUCUGUUAUUAUUAUGGGCCAUAAGAGCAUCUCCAAGAGUUCCCUAAAUUCCCUCCUAAUCCUUAAUUUUUACUCCCUCCGUUCCAAAUUAUAAGUCAUUCCAAGAAUCUUGAAGAGUCAAAAUUUUUCAAGUUUGACUAAAUUUAUAUAGCAAAAUAUUAACAUUUUUGGUACCAACCAAGUAUCAUUAGAUUCUUUGUUAGUUAUAUUUCAUAGUGUACCUAUUUUAUGACAUAAAUCUUUAUAUUUCUCUCUAUAUUUUUUGUCAAACUUAAAAAUGCUUUUACUCUUCAAGAUUCUUAGAAUGACUUAUAAUUUGGAACGGAGGAGGAAGUAGAAAAAAAAAAUCAUCUCCAACAACUCCUAAGACUUACUCCUAAGAUUUAGGGACUUUGGAAAAACCAAGGCAAUCCGCAUAAAGUUACGCGCUCUUCUUUCUCCGGUUCUCCCAGCGCCAAUUUUUCUUCGGGCGGCUGUGCAAGCAUUGAAGCCGAUGGGAGCUCGUGUCGCCCGUCGCAGACCUCUCGCGUGGCCUGUGGGGAGCUCGUGUCGCCGGUCGCGAACCUCGCACAGCAUGUGCAAGCUCGUGCAGCCAUUGCCGUGUGGAGCCUCGCGCGGCCACCGUGGGAAUCUUGCGCGCUGCCUUGCGCGGCCGCCUCACCCGCUUUGCCGCACCCGACGUCGUCUCAUGCGUCCGGGAUGCCAUCUAUUGCUGCGUUGAGAGUGUGCCUAGCCUGGCGGGGAGGACAUGUCGAUGCUGCGCUGCUUGACGCUGACUGAGAAAGGUGUGCUGCGCGUCGUCCGUGGCAACGACAACUCGCCGAGCCCGCCACGGUACCUUGCGCGCUGCUACUGCUUAGCCCGGCCGCCGGUAGCGAAACUUGCAUUGCGUGCGGACACCCAGCGCCGCCGCCCCCGUGCACCCCGCGCGUGUUGGUGUUGAUGACGAUAUGGCGCUUGCCAGCGGUAACAUGUCGAGUGGCCGUCGGUGAGCACCUCCAGGCUUAGACUAGUGUUGUACUAUUUGGUCUCGUAUCAUCGUCGUGGACAAAAAACGACAGGGCACCCUGGUUCACCUAGACGCACGGCAGGGAGGUCGUGGCGUGAAGGGUUUGGCGCGCUCUGUGUUUCCCGCGAAAGAAACAGUAAAAUAAUUGAUGUGGACCCAAAAUUGAUGUUUUAGAAGCUAUUUAUAAGAAACUCUUGGAGGUGAUCCUCUUUUUUUUAUUCUAAUAUCUUUUAGGAGUGGUAAAACUAUAAGUUUUUAGAAGAAAAAGUAGGGAACUCUUGGAGAUGCUCUAAAUGCUAUAAACACAUAAAAAAUGAGGUACAAGGUUGAAAAGUAUCAUGAUAUAUAUAACACAUUAUUAAGGUUAUUAGUAAUGCACAACCGAUCCAUGUUGGAACUUACCUCGAGACAUCAGCUCUGUAUUUUUUAGCUCCCGUGGAUGGUUGGCUGCUAGAUAUAUUGGUCAUGUUUAGUUCAAAAUUUAUUUCGUUUUGCUUGGUCAGAUUGUUGGCUGUCAAGAACUCUUUGUAAUAAUUGGCAUGAUUCUAUCAGUUGAUAGAAGAAGCCGGAUAUAAACUAUCUUUUAUUUAAAAAGUAAUGCACAAAUUAAAUAAGUUUGCAAGAAAACUUUGAUUUUAAUUUUAUCUAUUUUCACUUCCAAAAUAUGCUAUUCCUCAAUGUACUAUAUAUCAAGCAUAGAUAUACUUACAAGUUAUACCAACCAUGCUUAUUCCAAAAAAAAUAAGGAAGAGUAACAAAUUAAAAAAAUAUUAUUAUAUGAUUAGUGGGUUGACUCAUCUUACCCAUUAGUCGAUAACUGCCUGCCCUAUCAACCCAUUUUAAAUUUUGAGGCUGGCUCCUAUAUAUGACCCAUUAGCUUUACUUUUGUACUAGGAGAAUUUCUCGCACGUUGCUACGGGUAUGAAAGAGGAAUAUAAUAUGAUCUUAUUAUAGUCUAUCGAGUCAUCUAUAUAUAGUUUUAGUAGUCGGCUCCUGAAGAGGAAGAGAGGUCAUGUAAGAGAAUAAUUGCUAGCAGUAUGCAUGCAUGGUCAUGUGUAUGUAGCUGCAUUCACUACUGAAACUAUUUGUGAGUGGACACUUAAUUGCAUGCGACAGCAGGAGAAGUGGAUGAUGACAUGGCGCAAGGAGGUACAAGAGAAUUAGCUUAGUGGGGUUUGACUAUAGAAUAUAUAGAUUCGGGUCGAUUGCCCAAAUGAGUCGAUCCGACCCAGUUCCAUUCCUAAUUAGCGCCCAAUCUUGGUGGGCAUGUACACUUCGGAAGCUCUUAAGCAUCUUAGUUUCCAAAAAUCACAGCAAAAUACUGACUUAAGAUGUUAGAGAAAACAUCCUUCCAACAACAACCUAAAUUACACUACACCAUGACAGAUGACACACAUGUACCUAUUGUUGGCAAAAGGUGGGCAUCUAAACUGUCGGUAUAGCUUUUAGUGGGAGGUUAUUUGUCAGGAAAGGUAUCUUUGGCCCACUUUAAAAAUGUUGACAUCGUGUUAUAGUAUCACCAUUCUAUUUUAAUCACCAUCCAAAACCAGCGUUAUUUUUGUCAAAAGAAAAACCAGCGUUAUGUAACAUUAAAUUUGGCUCCUCACUAGCCGCCAAAAAACAUAUCGUACACGUUUCAGCCCCCUUCAACACCAAUCUAACUUACAUUAAACAUAUGGUGACCCCUAAAAAUGGAUAAUUUGUUUAUUUUCCACCUCCAAUACCUCUCAACCAAUAUAGAUUGGGGUGGAUUGGUGUGCAGCUAAACAAGCUCUAAAAAGGAAAUUAACUGAACAAGACCUAACAAGUUUGUUGAAGCAAAUUACGGUCAGCACACCGGUACAGAGUUAGAUCGCUCUAUAUACAGCCUAGACGACUUUUAGAUCAGUUGAGGCUAAACUAUGUUCACACAUAAACCUGGUGUAUCGAGUUAUAGAGCCUUGAUACGCAAGACAUCACCGGAUGAGCCUCCUCUAGAGUGCAAUACACAAGACACGACAUUGUGGUCUCUUGAAACCUAAAACCCAACAUGUCCAAGAGGGACCCAGUUGGGGCAUACAGAGGCUAUGGGCUGUCCUAAUCGGCCUAACCACUCUAGAGCUUCAUUGUCGUCAAUCCACUGGUCAUGCAGCAGCGACGAAGAACGACAAGAAGAGGUAGAUGUGAAAAGAGAGUAAAAUAGAGGUAGUAGAUUGAUUUUUAUCAAUUGUAUAGUUGGAGUACCUCAACCGGUUGCAAUCCACUAAUAUAUACAUAAGGGGUGGUGUUAUCCUAGUAGCAAAUCUUUCCCAAACGAAACCUACAAGUCUCCUAGAAUUGGCAAGUUUAGAUUGAGUAAAACUCAAUCUGGACUGGAAAAAUUGGCCCAGUCAAUUUUUAUGGGUUCAGAGUACACAACUUUCUCAAAAUCAUAACUAGUUUAUCUGGACUCCACAUAAGUUACUGAAAUCCACACUCCAUCUUCCGCUCGUAUCCAAUAUGACAUAUAUAUAAGGCUCCCAUGGUAUGGGUGAAUAUGUAGAAAUAUGUUGCGGGGUUGCUAAAUUGAAGGCUCUAUUUGCGACUCCACAGUUUGUUUCAGAGGCUCAACAUGUUUCAGAGGUGAUCCAGCUAUUUCCUUUAUGGGCCGAUUCAUCAAAUCAGCCUUGCUUGCAUACUUGCUCAUGAGCUAGUCAAAAAUCUGCUGGUAUCUUCACCUCUUUACUAGAUAUUUAAGUUUUCUUAGCGUCUUGUAUCUUGAUCUCUAGUAACUCGAAUCACAUGGGUGUUGUGUUUUUUGUUUAGAGCUAGCUUGACAGAUUUGAGAAAUCAGUCUUACCGAUUUUUGUUGUUCACCAACAUUAGAAUUAGUUUGGCCAACUUUUAAAGUUAGCUAAGUUGACCCUUUUGAAUAGGAGCAUUAGUGGUCGUGUUUUGCUUGUCAACGGGAGUUUCGGCUAGCCCCCAAGCGCAGAAGAUUUGAUAGUGAUCUUGAGGCUCUCCUUAUUACCAUUUGACAUUUCUAGCAGCACCUCCUGAUCCAAGACUUUGCUUUCCUUCCUAGGUUCUUUAGAUUCACCAAUAAUCCCAUUUUUUUCUAGUGAAACCAGCUUGUUCCGAUUGAAUUAGGAUAGAUUCCUACAAAUUGGUUUGGGAGGAAUCACAUGAAGCCUCAGGCACUAGAACCAUGCUCGAUGACUUUGUAGACUUAGGCAACACCUAAUAUGAGGCAAAAAAGCAUGUGGUGGUAUUGUCCCACCAUCAGUUCAAGAGCUAUGAACCGAAUUUGGUGUGUCUAUAGUAGUAGGGACUAUUGUGCUACCUCCUCCCUAAUUGACCCUUUUGAGUUCAGACGUCGAAGAGGCCAAUUUGCAUUGAUCAACAAAUGCAUACCUGUUCUAAUCACAAAUGAUAGUGAAAUGACCUCCCAAUGGGGUUGAUAGCAGCCAAGGCCGAUCCACCAGUGUAUGCAUCAUGAGGCAAAUUAAGAAUAGGACCACCAGACAUUAUUUCCUCUAAUUCAUUAAAUUUGGACAUAAGCUUAUUCAUAGCAUGAAAAAGAGGGGAACUUCAGCUAUUCCACUUGCCUUGACCUCAGGUGCAUGCAGACAUGACAAUGCUCCAGAAAUCCAUUAGAUCAGUGAAAUUGUCAUUGAACCCGUUGUUCCACAUAUUGGUAGAGUGGAUCAAUACCAGAUGCAUUCAACCUUUUGGGAUAGAUGAAAAGGUAAUAUGAGACACAAGAAAGAUAUAUACGACCCAUUAAAUUGACUAGGUCAGAAAGAUUGGCUAUAGGAUAUAGCCGAACCAGCCAUUUCCUCAAUGGAGUCACCAAAAUGUGUGUUGAUAUAAAUUACAGUCAUCAUACUGGUAAAGAGCUAAAUUGCUUAGUAUAGAGCCUAGUCGGCAUUUAUGUUGAUUGAUGCCUAAUGUAUGUUUGGACACGGGUGCCUCUAACAAUGAGCGUGAUAAGCAAGACACGUCGACAAAGGAUCCUCGUCGGGAGCGCGAUAAGCAAAAUAUGCCGAUGAGGUCUCUUGAAACUCAAAACUCCACAUACCCAUGAAGGACCCCGUCGAGGCAUGCAGUGUCUAUGGGAUACCCUAGCUGACCCUAACCACUCUAGAGCUUCAUCAUGAUCGAUCCACCAACCAUGUAGUGAAGAAGAAUGAAAAGAAGAGGUAGAUUGCAAUAAAUGAUAAAAGAGAGGUAGUAGAUUAAUUUUAAAGAUUGUGCAGUUAGAUUACCCCAAUCUGUUAUGACCCUCUAAUACAUAGAGAGGGUGAUCUUAUCCUAUUAGGAACCAUUUUCCAAACAAAAAUCUAUAAGUUUACCAUGACAUUGGAUGAGUUUAGAUUGAAUCUAGAAUAGGAAAACUGGCCUAGACGGUUUCCAAAACUAGCCUGGCUGUUUUUUGUGGGUCUAGAGAAGAAAACCUUCUAAAAAUCAUAACUAAUUUGGACUCCAAAUGAUGCAACCCCUACAUGUUUUUAGUCAGCUCAACAAGAGGAACAUAGUAGUGCAAUCCAUCACUACAAGAAUUGUGUCAUCUUUUGACGUUUAAUAUAUGUCAUAAUACUUGGAAAACAAGUCACAAAUCACCAUUUGUGACACCAAGUUGACAAAAGAUCAAAUGUCAAAAGAUGAGUGUCUUUAAUGAGAACUUUUGAUGUUUAGAUGUUUAUGUCAUACAUUAUGACAUUGAUUUUGAAAGUCAUAAAAGUUUUAUGACGUCUAAAGUCACAAUCUUUUUAUGACAUCUAAAUAUAAGCCAUAAGUUCUUGGACUUCAUGUAGAAAGUAGGCUUAUAUGGCUCAUUUUUUGCAUGACCCAUUUCAUGUUUUAAAGCUUUUCUAGCCCAUUUUUUACUUGCAUUCAAAUUUACAUUUUUAUCGGCCCAUGCUUUUAAGCCCAACACACGUCAUAUUUUCUAGGCCAACCCAAACACACAUAAUAACCCAAAUUACAAAAAAACAACAAGCAAACAUAUGUUUGCAAAGUCUAAAUGAGUGAAACAAUCGCGCUCCGACUUUACCGUGCGACACCAGGCCGCGACGGGCCAACCCAGCAGAUAUCCCCUCCCCUCAUCCAACGUUGCGGCCAACACCCCGAGCUCGAGCUCUCAACAUUCUUUGUGAGGUUUUUAUAUGUAUGUCAUUAUAAAAGUUGUUAAUUACCUAUAAACCAUUAAAAAGUUGAGCUGUUACAGAUGUCACUGCUCCGAACUCUUUUACCAUGUACACCACUUCUGUUAGAUUUGACUCUAACGGUGUUAAAAUGCAGGUAUAAAAAGUUAAAAAUACCCUCAUAUCUAAAUAUUCAAUUAAUUUUUUUUGAGCAUCUUAACAAUCUCAAAUGAAAAAACUCGAAACUAGAAAGUCGUAGAUGAAGUACUGAGUACUGAUGACCUUGCAAUACUACAAGGGAUAACUAACAAGUACUGAAGGACUGCACUGAUAUAUAAUGAAGGACUAUACUAAAAAGUACUUAAUCAUAGAUAGAGUAUUAUGGUAGAUAAGUAUUAUUUUUUUGAAACUAUGGUAGAUAAGUAAAUUGCAAACAGAUCAUGAUGGAAAAAAAUAACAGAGAGAAAUUGACAUAACUAAGAAAAGAAGCGAAGCAAACUGAACCUGAAUAUAUGUUCCUAAAUCUUGUACUCCCUCCAUACUGCUAAAGGAAGUCGUCCUGGAGUCCGUUUAAAAUCAAGCAAAGCAAGUCGUUCUGGCCUUCGUAGCUAAAAUUAGACGCUGCUACCCUCACGUGCUUGGGCUCCUGUGCCGCAAUAAUUAGCAUGCACGCCGUCGGAACUUGCAAGAGUAAUACCACGCGUGCAUGCUCCUGUGCAUUGAGUCCACGCUGAGCCUCGCCUCCUGCGCUCGGCCGCUCGCCAGAUUAAUAGCGCCGCAUCCGUCUGUGCUCGGCCGCUCGUCUCGCAUGCUUUCCUCUCGCCUCGUAUACUCGCCACUCGCGCUUGUCGCCGGCAGGCUCGCCGCUUGCCCAAGUCAUGGAGUCCAAGGAGAUCGUUGUGCCGAACUCGGUGGAGAUCGUGCCUGAGUCGGAGGAGACCGUCGCCGCAGACGACGUCGGGCACGAGUCGAAGGAGGUCGCCGCAGACUCCGUCGACCUGCUGGCCAUGGUGCCGGACUCCAUGGAGUCGUCGAUGCUGUCCAUGGACUCCGUAGACCUGUUGUCCAUGGUGCCGCACUCCAUGGAGUCGCCGGAUUCUUUGCCGCCCGGAGCUUUUGUUUGUGGCCGCUGUCAAGUUGUUCAUCUUAACCGCAAAGUAUGGGAUCGUGUGCACACAGGGAAGUAUCCAUGCUCUCGUUGUGGUCUCAAGCACGACGACUACUUGAUCUUCGCUGUUGUUCAUGGCAUCGACAAAUUCGAGUGCGAGUUGUUCAUUCCAGAUGUCAACAAAGUGGUGUUCGGAGUCGGCAUGGAGAAAAUCUUGCUGCCUCCAGAUGUGCUGAAGAAGGUCGAAGAGGAAGCUAAGGAGAGGCGCGAGCGUAAGCUCGCUGCCAAGAAGGCUAUGGAGGACGCCAAAGCAGCACGGUAAGAACAUCACUGAGUUCUAAUUCACUAAUACUUUCAUGCAGCAAGAGUACAAAGGAUACAAGAUCAAUCUACUACUACUUUCAUUACGCAAGUUGUCUCUACUACUAAUGCUAACAACCAUCAAUAUAUUUCUUUCAUGCAGCAAGAGUGGCCACGGCUUCAUCUAGGACAGAUGGAUCACAAGGGAUACAAGAUGGCAGCAGACCUAGUCUUUCCAAUGUUCCUUUUUUCAUGUGAGGUAUCUUGUAGUUGUUGCAACCUUUCUUCUUCAUAGCUUCCAUCAAAACGCCUUGUAGUGUUAGGAACAUUCGGUUUGCAAGCUGUGGUGAGUACUCCAUGAAUGCCUACAAUUGUAAUGCAAGUUUAAAUGGGUUAGCAAAAAUUGUAAUGCAAGUUUAAUUCGGUUACGAACAAUUUAUUGAGCAAAUUACCGCUUGCACGGCUGGAAGGAGAUCCUCCAUUGUCUUUGCAUUCUUUUGAUAUUGAAUUGCUUGUAUAGCUCGAAAAAAACCCAAGUCAAGAAUGUUGAAAUCUGGAGAGUUUGGUGGUUGACAUAUUAAGCGAAUAUCAAAUCCUCCUAGCUUAGCUGCCUCACAAAAUUCUGCGUCAUCCAAUUUCAAGUGGGAAGGUGCAUUGUCUUGUUGAAUGAAUAUUGGUCUACCCACAUAUUCUCUUGGCCACUUAGCUCUAAUAGCGAGCAACACUUGGUUAAUCAUAAAACCUCUAAUCACUUCUCUAGUGAUCGAAGUUAUGGGCUUCAUAACCAAGUCUCCACGGACACGACCGGUCCUUUCAUUGCCUCUUUGAGCCGGUUCAUAUUGAACAAGUGGAAAACAACCAAUCUUACCAUCAAAAAUACAAUCCACAUCCCUAAACCUUGGCCGAGCGCAAACACACAAGAACAUGAGCCUAGGGAUGUAGUUCUUAUUCUUACAAGUACGAUGGGGUUCAUCUUCUUCGGGUAGCAAAUAAUAGUUUUCAGAUCUUUGAUGUAGGUAGAACCAUUUCUCAUCAAUGAACAUGAAGUCAUACAACUCCUUAAACCUUGGAUCAUCAAGCAACUCCCUAUUAACCAUGUCAACACACCAUUGUAACCUAGACUUUUUGUUAGCUUCAGUGAGAUAUGGUUUGAUGCUACUAGAGUGGCGCCUAAUCAAUCCUUUGCUCAAAUACUUUUGAACCCUCCAUUUGCUCAUGUUUAGUUUGGCGCACACGUCCGCUAUUUAAUAGGGGCAAACAUGGAAAAAUACCCCUACAUUAAUCACUCUUUGGCACUCCUUGGUAAACGUGAUCAUGUCCUAAACGACCUUCUUUACCAGUACGGAGGGAGUAUAUUAGUUGCCUCACCUACAAUGUAUAAGUUGUUACAAAAGGGUAGUUAUUGCACACAUAAGUUGCCACAAAAGAAUUUGCCUCCUAGUUUCAAUAGUUAAGUUUUUUUCUUUUUUUUUGUUUUAGUUUUCGGUCAUAUUUUUUAAAAACUUUUGAGUUCCAGUUUUUAAAGUGGUUUGUAUGUAUUUGUAACUUAUGUUAUAUAUGUAAUAGCUAUUUAUGUAUUAAGCAUAUAACAACUUAUGUAUUAAGUAUGCAGCAACUUAUGUAUUAAACAUGUACUCUCUACUAUCGAAAAGAAAGUUGUUUUAGCUUUUAAAAUAAAAAGUGUCCCUUAAAGAGUGUCGUUUGAUGUUGUGGAUCAUUAACCUACCCCUGCCAUGGUCCAGCUACUUGUCUCACCGCUCAUCUAUGAAGGCACUACCUCAUCAAGAGAGCUCAAACGACGUGAAGUUUGAACAAUCAUGGUAGGCAAAAGCUGCGAAGGACUUAAGACUAGCGCUAGUAGGCAAGGGUGUCAAAACACGCCAACCCCACACCCCCUUUUAUAGGGGGGGCUGCGGCUCCGUGGCGGUUGCGAUUCCCAGGGCACAACGGCUACCAGCGAAGGAAAUGAAAAGUCCAACGGCUAUUUGCGCAAAUUUCGCCAUCUCCCAACGGCUCUUCGCGCGUCUUUCGCCAAACAAUCAGCGGAGGAAAAUCCUCCCAACGGCUAUAUGCACAAAAUACGCCGCACAAUCAGAGGAGGAAAAGUCGUACAACGACCAGUUGCUGCAGCACUAACAUUUUGCGAAGGUCAAAAUAACCGAAGGAUGACCAAAACUUGACCAAACUUAAGGUGUUUUGACUUAGCAUAAAACAAAAAAUUCUGAACACCAAACGAACACAUCCUGUGCACCAGGGGGAAGGCACUAGCCAUGCUCAUAACCUCCGCAACAUGGCAAGUUUUGAGCGUAUGGCCCACAGGAGUGCCUCUAGCUCAAAAGGGGGGGACUGUUGGGGACUCGAUACCGCCUUCCCCUGUCUAGCUGCUCCGGAGGAUUGCCUUCAUCUCGAACCUCCGUCUUGUGAUCCUUCAGGUGUUAUCGCUCGAAGGUUCCGGGUAGAACUAACGGUAACACGUCUUGUGUGGUGCUGGGUGAAUGCAGGGACCAAGCCGGUGGCAGAGGCCACGAGGAAUGAAGGAGAGGACCUUCGGGUGUCCCCCACGUCGGAGGAUGGGCGAGAGCAUGUCUAAGGGUGCAGAGAUGAAGGAUAGACGAGGGUGCGUCGGAGGAUGCGGUGGAGCCGAGGAACCUUCGACGUCUUCACGCCGAAGGUUCCACAGUCGGCCAGAGGUGCGAGCACUGUCAAGCUGGAGUCCCGAGUGAGGAGCGCGCGAGGAACUCGUAGUGUGAAAUUACUUAAGUGACUUGUGGUCAGUAGACUGUAACAUAGGGAUAUGCCAAGAUAUUUCCCCACCAUCACGGAGUAUUUUUGUAAUAGUCUUAGGUCGGUUUCUAAGCCCUAUAUAAGGGGAAUGAAACCACACUUAAAGACAGAGGGAGAGAGCAUUUAGUGUUCCCACCAACUGUCAAGCUUACUAUUCGUUAUCGCUGGGCCUCUCGCUGCAGCGCGUGAGAGGGCUCAUUGUGCAUCAUGUUGCUGUGGAGUACAGUACGCAUUUCCCAACAACGGUCAUUUUUGCUAAUAUAACUUAUACGUCUAAUUUCAUAUAUAAGUCUUUCAUCGAGUUAUAUAUCUAAGUUAUACAAAUAAAUUAUGCAUAAAAGUUUUGUAUAUUUUUUAGUUUUAAAUUAUGUAAAUAUCUAAGUUAUACAUAAAAGUUUUGCGUAUAACUUUAAUAUGUAGUAAGUUAUUAUGUGCGUAACUUAUCACGUUAAAAGUAUAUGGUGAAAUCAUGUGUAUAAGUUAUAUGUAUAAGUUAUACGUUGAAGUUUGUUUUAGAAGUUAUACGUAAAAAUUAAUAUUAGAAUUAAUAUUGUAAUUUUUAAAAAAAAGUUGCGGUAUUUUUUUAUCAAAAACAGAAAACUUUUAAAAAAAGUUGUGAAAAUUAAUUUUUACUAAAAGGAAAGUUACGGAGAAUAUGUGAUCGUUCCUUAAAUUUGAAUGCGAUGAACUUCGCUAAUUAGCGUGGCCGAGACGGAGCGCACCACACAUUUUUCCUGCAUCAACACAACCAAAAAAAAAUGUAUUUCUCAGCAGAGGGCAUGUUGGGGAAGGGGAUGGACGCAGGCUCCAGCCCCGCGACGUCAGGAGGAGGGACGACUCGUUUGCAAAUUAUUUUUUCCUAAACAAGGCCCUACUGUACUAAAAGAUGAGCUCGCCCGCGAGAAGACAGGAGGGGCGACGCGGAUGGCGAGCGCUGCUGAUCACUUUGCCCUUAUUUAGUUUUCGACAAAUUUUGCAAAAAAAAUAGAUUCCUAUUACAUCGAAUUUUAUUUUAUAUGUAUAAAAUAUUAAAUAUAAUUUAAAAAAAUUGAUUAUACAGUUUGUCUGUAAUUUAUGAGAUAAAUCUUUUAAGUCUAUUUAGUCCAUAAUUUGAUAAUAUUUAUCAAAUACAAAUGAACGUGUCUAUUUUACAAAAAUAAAAUGCAACUAAAGGGGUGUUUAGUUCCCAUAGAAUCCAAAAUGCAAAAUGCCAAGUACUUUGGAGUGAUGAAAUGCAAAAUACUAAAAUUUUUAGGGCUAUGUUUAGUUCCAUCCAAAAUGCAGAAUUUAUUGUCCAAUUAAAAGCCUCUUGAAGCUCUUUUUGAGUUUUUUUUUCCCUCUUGAUGUCAAAAUCCAAAAUGGAGAAUAAUCACUUUUUUGCCAAAAAUUUACAUGGUGUUUAGUUUUAUUUUGUAAAAUGAUAGAGUAAAAUCUAGAAUUUUUUUUAGAAAAAAUGGAAACUAACAUCCUUAGAGCCCGUUCGCUUGUCGAACUUUUUCUAUCGGUGUUUUUUUCUCACGAUAAAUUAGUGAAGCUCGGCCAUGACUUUUCACACCAUAGGUAAUCUACCCAGCAGAAUGCGGGGAUAAAGGACUCGGGGAAAAGGAGAUCGGGAUACAGAAUCUGUAGUCUGCUGGACGCGAGUUUUUAAGCACCGGAUCGGAAAACCGGUUUUCACGGGAAGAAAUGGGGAGUUUGUUGGAGAUGGCCAUACAAAUAGGGGCGAUAUACUAACAGCAUACCUGCAGCUACUACGCAAGCCGCCGCCCUAACAUGGCCGCCGCCACCACCACCAACGGUGCCCUUGCCACCACAGCCAACGCCACUAGGUCCAACGGCACUCCUGCCACCACACCGAACGGCGCCUCCGCCACGGCCAACGGCUCCCCCGCGUCCCACCAUGGCGCGAACGGUCCCGGCAACGGCGGCGCUCCCGUGCCAGGCUCAGGCCGCGACCACGUCGUCAUCUUCCCCUUCAUGGCGAAGGGCCACAUGCUCCCGCUGCUCCACUUCGCGACGGCACUCUCGGCGGCGCAACACGGGAUGAGCCGCCGCCGGCGCCGCCUCCGCGUGACCCUGGUCACCACCCCGGGCAACGUGGCCUUCGCCCGGAGCCGCCUGCCCGCGUCGGUGGACCUCGUCGCGCUCCCGUUCCCGUCGUUCCCGCCGCUGCCGGCGGGCGUCGAGUCCACCGACGCGCUCCCGUGCCCGUCGCUGCACCUGACGUUCAUGCACGCGACGGGGCUCCUGCGCGCGCCCUUCGCCGAGUUCCUGGCGUCGCUCCAUUCCCCGCCGCUCGCGCUCGUCUCCGACUUCUUCCUCGGGUUCACGCGCCGCGUCGCGGCCGACGCGGGGGUCCGCCGCGUCGUCUUCAACGGCAUGUCCUGCUUCGCCUCGGCGAUCUGCAAGGCGCUCGCCGCGAGCCCGCCGGCCAGCGGCUUCGAACCGGGGGCCAUGAUCCAGGUGCCCGGCAUGCCGGAACACGUGGUGGUCAGGGCGGAGGAGGUCCCCGACGGGGUCACCAAGAGGGCCGACCCGGACAACCCGUUCACGCGCUUCUUCAUGGACGAGAUCGGCGACUCGGACGUGCGCAGCUGGGGCGUCCUCAGCAACAGCUUCGCCGCGCUCGACGAGGCCUACGUGCCGGCCUUGGAGUCCUUCUACGAGGCGGGAGCCCGUGCCUGGCUCGUCGGCCCGCUGUUCCUGGCCGCCGCCGGCGGCGGCGGCGGCGACAUGCCGGACGGCGAGAAGGAGCAAGACCCAGAGGGCUGUCUCUCGUGGCUGGACGAGAGGGCGGCGGCGCAGCCAGGGUCGGUGGUCUACGUUUCGUUCGGGACGCAGGCCCACAUCACGGACGCGCAGCUGGACGAGCUGGUGCACGGGCUGCUGCAGUCCGGCCAUCCCUUCCUCUGGGCUGUCCGAUCGGACACUUGGUCGCCGCCGGUGGACGUGGGGCCCAACGGCCGGAUCGUCCGUGGAUGGGUCCCGCAAAGAAGCGUUCUGGCCCACCAGGCAGUUGGUGGGUUCGUGAGCCAUUGCGGGUGGAACUCGGUGAUGGAGAGCCUCGCCGCCGGGAAGCCCAUGCUGGCGUGGCCGAUGAUAGCGGAGCAGCACCUGAACGCAAGGCACGUGGCCAACAUCAUCGGCGUCGGCGUCAGGAUAGCGCUCAAGGCUGGCGCGGACGUCGUUGCGAGCACGGAGGUGGAGGAGAAGGUUCGGGAGCUGAUGGACGCUGAAUGCAAGGCGGCGAAGCAGAUGCGGGAGAGGGCUGCGUGGGCGCAGCAAGCAGCGAGGUCAGCGGUGAGCCACGGUGGAACUUCGGCCAUGGCUUUGCAGAAGCUUGUGGAAGAGCUGCAGGAGACUUAUGACGACGACGUAGGCAAAGGUGCAAAUGGUGUUUAGAAUGAUCUUUAAUUUCCAAGUACUUCAGUUAGGUUGCUGUUUAGAUUGAUCUUUAGGUUCAGUUUCACUAGGACACAGGGUCUACCUACAAACAUGUUUCAUUAGUUAGUUCUACUAAUAUAUGCUUUUUUCUGUUUCCAUUAUAGUUUCAGGUCAGCAUGUGUUCCCUUUAUAUUACCUGCGUUUGUUUCACAGUAUAUCAAAUUAGAUGGAAUCCAAACAAACCCACGAAUCCUUUCCCAAGAACGAGUUAUCCAGGAAAGUAGCAGGAAAAUUAGCUGGUAUCAGUUGUUGCACGAAAUUGAACAUUACCAAUUGUUGUUUGAGAAAUUCAAACACUGACCCUUUUUCACGUAUUGUUUGGUCCUUACUAGUAGCUCAAAAAUUAACCCUUCCAAUGGUCAUUCAGACCAUAAGAAGCACAGGGAUUAAGCUCUGGUGGUCUGCUAUGUUUGGGCUCAGCAGCAUGGGGAUAGACAGAAGUACAGAACUCUGGUGGUCUGCCAUGAAACAGCGCGUCGGCAAUAUCCUGUAGAUAACUAGCUUGUAUAUGCAGGUUUGGCCAUGGCUGCAAUCUACUGCAGCAAGGCCAGUUGCUAACUCCUUUCCCCUAUUUUCCUUUUUAGCAUCCUGAAUUUCUAGCAAGAGUGUAAAUUUGUACUGUUUUCUCCAUAUAUCUACUUAAAUGCAAAGGCAGAGCACCUGCCAUUCCGUGCUCAAAAAAAGAAGAAAUUCAAAAACUGUGAGCUCAAAACUUCAAGCAUACAGCCUGUAAACUAUGAGCUAAGGACUAACAAUGAUCGCAUUUACAUCUUAAAACUGGCACUGCAGCUGCAAGGACACGACACAUAUAGGAAAGAAAUAAAUCAAAACAAAUUAUUAAUUCAUCAAUUUUUCAAAAAAUUGAGAUGGCCUUGGUAUCCAGCAAUUUACACAGAUCGAGUAUAUGUCAGUGAUGACCAAUCAGAUCCUAACAAUCGAUUAGUCUUAUAUUUCGAAGUAAAUUAAGCCUUAAUAUGGUAAAAAAUAGUAUCAUACAAUCGAUUCAAGCAAAAUAAAAAAAUCUUGGUAGUUGUCUUUUAUUUCAGUUUAAUACAGCAGUUCAAUACAGCAAAAGUCAGUGCAAACCAACCAAACAAAUGCUCUACUCAGCCUGAUCUUUUGGAUUCAAUGAACCAAACAAGUUUUUGCAUGUCAUUGGUCCGUCCCCCCGCAGCGAACUGAAUAUAAGCUAUAACUUUCUUUAGCUCAGAAACUUAUGGAAAUUAAACAAAUAUGGCCUUUAAUAAGUGUGGCAUGCUUCAUAUCAUCAUAUGUGGUGUGGUAACCUGUCAUAGCCAUCCAAACCAGCCCGUGCUACGGUGAAGUCAAAUUUGAAAAGGAGACAUCUUCACAUGUACUGUUGUGAAUAACUCUUUCCACAAGAGACAAAGAAGGAUAAACUUUCUCAAAUAUGCAGGAGAGCUGCGUAUUACUGCAUUAAACAAAGAAGGAUAAACGUAUUGGAAGGAGCUACAACUAUCCACUUUUAGUACGCUCUCUGCUCAAGAAUGGCUAUAAAGCCUACAAAGAGUCAGUGCCAUUGUUUCUUUGAAUGUGGAGGUUGUUUGAACUCCAUUGUAUACGGAAUAAAGGCUUAUCAGUAAUUAUUCCAAUGGUUACCAGCUCCACGGCUAAAAUAGUCACUCAGCUGGUUUACUUGUUGCAUGUUUGCAGGCUACUCCAUGGCCCUGUUGCCUUGUCAUCUCAUUGCCAGCAACAAGAAAGUAAGCAGUGUGCCUGAAAAAAAAAAAAUGAAAGUGUCAGCGAAAUUGUUGGUUAAUUAUGAUAUAAAAAAAAACUUGAGUCAUAAUGCAGACCUAAAAAAAUUCAUCAUUUUGGUUUUUGAGUCCACAUCUAUGCUUUCAGUUGUAUCCAAAGCUUGUUGCAUGUGGUGUAGCCACCGCUCUGCAGCUCGGUGGGUAACCAAGAAUGGUCGAUGUCGUCCUAUAAGGGCAGGGUGUCCUGCAAGAAAAAACAGACAACUUGGGCUUACAAGUCCAAAUUAUCUUGAGAGUAAUGGAUAGAAAACACUAGGUAGAAAAGCAAAGGCACUAUCACUGCAUAAUGUUAACCACAACAAAAAUGGACCAGAAACAAUGGUUGCACUGAACAUGAAGACACUCAUUUCUUCAUUCAUUUUGGGCAGAUCAACUAGCCAGAAAUGCAAAAGAACAACAGCAAAAAAUGGCUAAAUGAAUCUUUUUCACUCUAGUAGUGACUACAGAAUACAAAAACAACCUCAAUCAAGAAUUACAAGUUGUACUAUUAGUGAAUUAGGUGCUUUAGGUUAGGAUAAAGUCAGUCCCCUGAUCAAAUCAAGCAAUAGUUGAAAUUGAAAAUAUUCACUCCCCUUGGACCAAUUGAUGAACAAACAGAUCUACAAAUGGGAAGAACAAUAUACUCCCUCCGUUCCAAACUAUAAGACAUUUUGGCUUUUCAAGAUACGUAGCUUUUGCCAUGCACUUAGAUAUACACUUGUCUAGAUACAUAGCAAAAACAACAUAUCUAGAAAAGCCAAAAUGUCUUAUAAUUUGGAACGGAGGGAUUAUCAUUCUUGGAUACUCAGUAUCAUUCCUGGAUACUCCCAGGUCAGGCAUGAAGCACUCAAACGAAUAUUGCUGAUAGUGAUAACUAUAUGUUUAAAGAACUGAAUCAAUAAAAGUGCCAUGGAGGUAUGCUGCUGGUUAACAUGAAAGAACAAACAAGGCUGCAGACGGUCAAAACUUAACAACAAUGUAAACAGGGGCUGAAUCACCACACACUCAUUUCUCCCCUAGAAGUUUAGGCUUAACUAGGAUGAGUUAUUCUCAACUUGAGCUUUUCGUAUUGUAAUCCGUUUCUUUCUUUUUCUUUCUUUUCUUUUUUUUUAACGAACCAGCACGAUUGUGUACUAAUUUCAUUAAUAGAAAAGAGGUACAGGCCCCGCUCUCAGUCUACACCUGGAAGCUGUAGUAGCCUCAGGGAACAUGGCUGGUAAAACAUGUGCAAGUGCAGAACGUGUAAAAAGAAUAUCAUGGAUCGUCCACCCUAUCUGUAAGUACAUCAUAAACUUGUAAACUUGUACUUUUCAGGUUUCAGGAACAUGACUGGCAGUGCGCAAGGACACCAAAGCAGAUCUUCUGACCCGCUUCCACGCUAAGCAGCUAAGACCAAACUAAAUAACUUUUCCACAAAAUUAACCAAAAUCAUAUAACAACAUUCAUCCAAUCAUCCCUCAUUUCUUUUUUUGGCAAACCCAAUUUAAGUAAAUCACACGGAGUCCCACAUGUCAAAGACGAAGAGACACGAGCUACUUUACCUCUCCUCUGGGAGAAGAGAGGCGGGCCGCCCAUGCGCUGGAUCAGGAACUCAUACUGGUUCUGGAUGGCAUCCUCCUUCUUCGACCCCGCGAAUAUCUCCCGGAACCACUCCUCUUCGUCCUCAAAAACCCUAUCCAAUCCAAUCAAUCAAGACGCGGCCAUGAAACCAGAAAUUCAACUGGACACAGAUCCGAUCGGUUCAAAGCAGAGGAGAAGAAGGGAGGGACAGAGUUGCCGAUCGACGGGCGGACCUGGUGUAGAAAUUGGUGGAGAGGUCGACGAAGGGCUGCGGGGUGCCGCCGAGGGACUCGAAUAGGUUGACGUCGUCGAUGGCGAAGGCAUCGGCGGCCGCCACGCCGCUCCACUCCGACGCCUUGUCCUGCAGCGACUGCAUCCUCCCGGCGUUGCGUCCUGCUCCCCCCAAAACCACCCACCCGUGACCGUGAGACCGCAGCGGGGGCAGCAGCGCUUGUUGGCUUUUUGAGUUGACUUCUGCCGGAACCGCAGUGAUAUACUGUGUGCGCGCCGCGCGCGUGUGACUCACGCGACGCGCUCUCGCUCUCGCUCGGCUUUAUACCGGCCACGCUCAACCGGCCAAUCGGGUGGCGACCACGCGCGGCCGGGGUUCCACGGGCCCAGGUGGCGGUGAGCGAGGUGAGCCUGCGUGGUCGACGGUGAUGUCGACAUGCUAUGUCACCAAUGAUGAUAUGAUGAUAUUUGCUACCCACGCGAUUAGUAAAGACGCCCGCGGUUUUGAUUAACUUUUUUUUCUAGGUGUGGUUUUAGGCUAGUCUUAAUACAUAGUUUCAUCAUACAGUUACCAAGACUAUAAACUAGGUAACCGAGCCACAUGAGUUUUAUGGAGAUGAAACUCCUCUCUCGUAUGAUGAAACUCAUUCAUUUAAUGACAUUGCCAAGUCAGCAAUUUUACUUAUGUGGCACCCAAUUUAAUGUGCAUAACACUCUCAUGAAAUAUGCAUUGAGACUAGCCUAAAAACAACUUGUUUUUUUAUACAUUUAUAUCUAAAUAACAGUAAUUGUUAAAAGUAGUUGUGUGUUCAGACAUACUCCCUCCAUACUGGUAAAGAAGGUCGUUUAGGACAUGAUCACGUUUACCAAGGAGUGCCAAAGAGUGAUUAAUGCAGGGGUAUUUUUUCAUGUCUGCCCCUAUUAAAUAGCGGUGCGGUUGCUUCCUAUACAAAGGAUCAAUGCUUGUUCAACUGGUUAGAUGGAGGCGAAUGGAGCCAAGUGGGUAGGGUUCGAACCUCUGUGGCAACACUUUUUUCAUUUUUGGUGCGCUCGCGCCUUUCUGGCCGCAAAUUUUCCGUGUUCGCGCUCCUUUGCACUUUUUUUCGCGUUUCGUUGUUGCGCGCUAAUUUUCCACUUGGGCGAGCGGCCAGCCUGCCGGCGACGAGCGCGAGUGGCGAGUAGACGAGGCGAGAGGGAAGCAGGCGAGACGAGCGGCCGAGCGCAGACGGAUGCGGCGCUAUUAAUCUAGCGAGCGGCCGAGCUCAGGAGGCGAGGCUCAGCGUGGACUCAAUGCACAGGAGCAUGCACGCGUGGUAUUACUCUUACAAAAUCCGACGGCAUGCACGCUAAUUAUUGUGGCACCGGAGCCCAAGCACGCGAGGGUAGCAUCGUCUAAUUUUGGCUACGAAGGCCAGAACGACUUGCUUUGCUUGAUUUCAAACGGACUCCAGAACGACUUUCUUUAACAGUAUGGAGGGAGUACGUAGCUAAUUGGCUAACCAACUGAGCAUCUCAAACAUAAUUACAAAACUGAUUUUUUUAAACUUUCCAGUAAAUAUUGAAGGGGGGAAAACAAGCCAUUACCAACAUUUUUUCAAUAGUUUAUCUAGACAGCCAACUAUUUCCUACACCUACCUCACACCUAUAACCUACAAAAGGAAUCUCCAUUGUUUCUCUACUUCCAUGUAUUCCCAGAUCUGGAAAUAGUGACCAAAUCCAAUUUUGAUGAAUAGUCGAAAGUUCUAGUUUAGUUUUCGUAAUUAAGUGACAACUAGUGGACUAUCGCUUUUGAAUGGAGAUGAUCGUGACCAUGAAGCAAGUGUCAACAUUUGGAGAAGAGAUGAAAAAAAAACAAGCCUGAAGGCAAACGUAUAUGCAUAGGGACGUGUUUCGUCGGCCAAGAUGCAAUAGAGUUGUUCAUGGCCGUGCUUGAGAUAAAUGGCCAUACUAAUUACAAGUAUCUUUUUUAUAUAGUGCUACUAGGUAAAGUAAUUUUGCAUUUGUAUUAGACCUAGUGACACGGUGAGGGAGCAAAUGAAAAAAAAUGUUUUGAAAAACAAUUCAAAAAUGCUAACGCAGCGCUAAAUUGUUGGUUUUCAUGUGGAACACAUUUGGAGUUAUCACACUUGCAGAAUUGGUUCGAAACCACACUUGGUGAUGCUAUUUUUCCAUUCACCGAAGUCCUUCAUUCGUUGGUCACCACGCUUAGGGUACCGAAGCUCUCAAUUAGUGCCCUACCUUUUAGCAUGCACCGGAUUGGCGGUGCCGAAGUUUAGGAACAGGGUCGACUAAUAGCUCGCGAAGUCCAGUGUGGUCACCGAAAUGUGACUCUAGAGGCAAUGUUUUCUGAGCACUUGAGGAAUUAUACUAACUGAAGCUCUCCGAUACUUUCACUAGAGAUGCAUUGGAGUGUUGGAAUAUUCCUACGGCUAGUUUUGUAGCCGUUCGAGAACUCCAGUAUAAGCAUUCAGCCACUCACGUGCUCACCGAAACUCUUUUCUGCGCAGUAAGCUUGCAAUGGCUAAUUUUUCAUGUGACUCUAUAAAUGGAGCUUGUGGCUAGACAUAGCUGCUCUCUUAGAGCAACUCCAAGAGAAGAGCUAUCCAUGUUAUGUAUUCUAUAUUUGGCUAUUUUAGGAGAAAAAAGAGAAUCCAACAGUUAUUGUAUUUGGUUUGCUAAAAUAGCAAGCCAUCUAUCCCGGAGUUCUCGCAUGGUAAAUAUAGCUUGCAUGUCCCGCUAGCCAUAUGAUUUGCCGUAUUAGAAAAGACUGUUGGAGAUUUUUGUUUUUUUUACAUGAUUUUCUAUUUUAGAGGUUGGCUAAAUCUUGAAUUUAGCCAUCCAUUUUUAUCAACUCUUUUGGAGUUGCUCUUAGACCCCUUGGCAAUUGGAUGUUAACUCCCUAACGGAAAAACGACAUUAAGGGAGGAAAGAAAAAAUUUAAAAGCUUGUAUAGGAAUCGCAGUGAACUUUUUUAUGAUAGAUAUACAUACAGAUUGGCAUCUUUCCUGUUACGUUACAUGGACUGUAUUUUUGGUUUGCUCCAAAAAAAAAGUUAAUGUCAAGGCUUUUUUUUAAUGAUAGAAGGACUCUCGAUCAAUCAGACUUGGUGGAGACCAUAUAAAUAUUUUUGAAAAAAAAAUCUAAAUUACUGCCUCCAUAGAAAAGUUGUCCCGAUAACCCAUAAAGGAAUUUUGUGUUCAAUAUUUGAAUUUACCCCGCUCUGAAUCUUUCGGUUGGUCCAUUCUACCCCCUUCAUAUGAUUUGCUUUUUUAUCUCUUCUUGUACAAGUCGAGUUUUAAUUUGAAUUUGUUGUAAAAUGAUAGGAAAGAUCAGAAAUUAUAUUAGAAAAGAAAACAGUGUUAUCACAUAUUCCCUAUCAAAGUAUGUGAUAACACUGUUUGACACUGCAGCGAAGCGCGAUUGUUCGUGCUAGGCUAAGAAAAAGGGGAAGAAAAGAAAACAACAAUCCCCCACAGAUAAUGGGCCACGUACUGGGUGUGGGCCUUGGUCUUGGAGCGGCCUUUUCCUAGUUAAAGGCCAGGCCCGUAGCUCCUCUGCGUUGGCGAUAGUACUAGUCGCGCUCGCGCCGCUCCAUACGAUCGGAUGAAACUGCUCCACGCUCCUGCGUGUACAGGGUCAGCCGGUGUAGCACGGGAUCGAACAGUGGUUGAAUCGCUUCGAGGCCCAUGCCCAUUUUCUCCGCACCGUGUGAUCACAGAUUCACAGCACAGAUUGACAGCGAGCGAGGUUGGUGGCAGGCAGAGGUCUUUCUUUUUAUAAAUCCCAGGAGACCGGCCCUCCUCCGCACAGGCUAGCACACAGCGAACACUCCCUCGCGACCCGAGAGAGCACGCAAAGCGGCGGGUAGCCAGAGACAAGAGGGCGGCGGCGGCUGCGGCCAUGGGGAGCGAGAGCAAUCGCGGCGGUGCGGCGGACCGGAUGGUGGCGGAGGAGGAGGAGAAGAAGAAGCGCGGGGGGCGGCUGUUCGAGAUGCCGGAGAUCAGGUUCACCAAGCUCUUCAUCAAUGGCUGCUUCGUCGACGCCGCCUCAGGUACACCCAGCAGCACCCACUCGCUUCCUGCUUCGUAUCGUCCCGUUGCAGCAAUGCAAUGCUGCUUGUGCAGCCCGCUCCGUUCGUCAGGAAUGGUUACUUGUUUCCGAUCUGGAUCUCUGAUUGAUUGCUCCGACUCCGGUUCCGAUUCCUGACACCCAUAUGGAAGUUUUUAUUUUAUUUUAUUUUUUCCUUUUUAGUUUUCGAAAAGAUUUAUCCGACGACAGCUAUGCAUGCAAGUCGGUAACCACUGGCCAGCUAGUGCCUAGUAGCGAUUAACAAGCUCCCUAAACGACGACGUCUGGUUUGAUGCUCUACUACCUAGUAUCAACAAGCUCUAACUAGCUGGCGAAUUAUUAGAAAUUACGACACUGACUAACUAGGUUUAAAAAAUUCGUCUUAUCUAUUUCUAUGCGCAAUUAAUUUUUAUUUUUAUCUAUAUUUAAUACUCCAUGUAUGCGUUUAAAAAUUCAAUGUGACUAGAAAUCUUGAAAAAAAUUUAAAUUUUCAGAUGAAAAUAAACAAGGCCCGGCACGAUAUUGUCACGCUCUGGGGAUCAUCGGCGUGCAUGUUCACGUGCUGCGGUUCCUCGGGACAGGACAUUUUUUGGUUUUUUUUUUGUCACCUCAAAUCAUACCGAUUUCCAGCACACAAAUUUACUCUGUAAAACAUGCAUUCUGUUCUAUGCGCCCGUCCGCGUGUAUGCUGUGCACACCGGGCUGUACAGUUACACGACGCUUCACGGGACGGGGUAGGAGUAGUUUAGGACGACGGUUGGUUAUUUUUAUAAACUGUAUUUUUUUUCAAUUAACUGUAUUUUUUAUUAUAAAUUAAUAGAUACUAUCCUAGCUAUGGUUUUUUCAUAUCAUCGAAUAGGUUCUCGGUUCAACCACCGAGUAGGCUCUUGGUUCAACUCCUACAAAUAAAAAAGCCUAUAUAAACAGUGAUAUAUUAGCCUCAGUCAGAGGAGAGGAAUGAAAAAGACAAGUAGUAAGUAAUACUAUCUGACCUUGGCCACUUGAAAUUUUUUAUUGUUUGUCUGAAGCAACGAUCGGGAUGGCAGUGGAACUUGCCUUGUUUAGGGGCUGUUUAGUUCCCUAAAGUUUUAUAAAUUUUUAAGAUUUUCUAUCAAUUUUACGGUACAUACAUAAAACAUUAAAUAUAGAUAAAAAUAAAUUAAUUAUAUAGUUCGUCUGUAAUUUAUGAAAUAAAUCUUUUAAGUCUAAUUAAUUUUUAAUUAGAUAAUAAUUUUUAAAUUAAAAAAUGCUACAGUAGUCAAACCAAAACUUUUCACCAACUAAACAGCCUCCUCGUCAAAAAACGUUUCACGCAUCAGAUUGAAUCUUUGGAUAAAUGUUUAGAACAUUAAAACUAAUUCUACAAUUUGUCUAUAAAUCACAAGAUGAAUCUUUUAAGUCUAAUUAGUCUAUGAUUGCCAAGUAAGGCCUGGUUUAGUUCACAAAAUUUUUUCAAGAUUCUCUGUCACAUCGAAUCUCUAGACACAUGCAUAGAGCAUUAAAUAUAGACGAAAUAAAAAUUAAUUAUACAGUUUGCCUAUUGCGAGAUGGAUCUUUUAAGUCUAGUUAGUCCAUGAUCGGACAAUAUACUAACAAAAGUACUUCAGUAGACAAACCAAAAAUUUUAAUAAACUAAACAAGUCCUAAAACAAAAAUAGUAUUAGCUAGUAGCUAAAUUGAAAAAAAUGUCGAAGCGCCCCGGAGUUGUGUCGAUGGCCACACUGCACAUGCCCUAAACAAGGCCAGCGAAAAACGUGGCAAAGAUACGGGAAGCUCGGGGAAUCUCCGUACUGGACACCAGGGCCACAUCCCACAGGGGUACGGGACGCCCAUUUCUCAUGCAGGGGUCCGCUGGGGAAACCCGUCCUGGCCUAGGGCCCACGUCCCGUGUUCUGGUGUCCGCCGUUUCGUCGGCGCCUGUGACAUGACAUCCGUGGUCUGGGGUUCGUGUGCUACUGUGCUUCACGUAUCAGCUUUGCCGGGCUGUUGGUUGCUUCGGCCUUGUUUAGGUCCCGCUUGGCACGGCUCCACCUCACCAAUGAAGCUGUUUUUAGAGCUUCAGCUCCAUGAACAGCUCUAUCGUGGAGCUGAAGCUAUUUUGGUAAAUCGUUUGGCAAAAUAGCUCUUUUCUUGAAAUGUGCUAUCACAUAAUGCCAUAUAGGAUGAGGUAAAGGCGGAAGAAGCCACUAUUUUUGGCUCCUUCAUACUCCAAAGCUUUGUGAGAGCAUGUUUUUAGGGGCUUCAUUGGUAGAGCUAUUCUAAUUUACCCUGUUUGGCACAAAACGGCUCCUGAAGCCGCUGAAGAAGCCGUGCCAAACAGAGCCUUAGAUUACUCAAAAACAAAAAAAAAUUCAAGAUUUCUUUCGUAGAAAUCGUAUAGAAAAUUAAAUAUAGAUAAAAAUAAAAACUAAUUAUAUAAAUUUUAGACAUGAGAUGAAUUUUUUAAGGCUAGUUACUAUAUAACUAGACAAUGUUUGUUAAAUAAAAAUAAAAGUACUAUAAUAUCAAAAUCAAAAAAAAAAUAUCUAAACAAGGGCUUCCAUUCAUCUCAUGUGCAACCUAAUCGAUGCGGAAGUGCAUGUAAAACGACGACGUAUGAUACGAGGCCGGUGCUGUGCUCUGCUUCUUGAAGCCUGAAGCCGGCUGCCUAUCUCUGUUUUUGCGACUUGCGAGCUCAGGGACUCGCCGUUUGCUCGGGCCGCACAGAGCUUUUCCGUUAGAAAAAAAAAACUGACCACCGGUACGGUUUCAUCUGUCCAAUCGAUUCCCUCCGUUAAAAAAAAAAGUUAAUGUCAGUGUCUAAGUUUAUUCUUUCAUGAAAUUAUAUUAUAUUUACAGUUUAAUUAAAAUUAUAGAAAAAAUGUCAAUAUCUAUGAUUCUAAAUACUCUCUCUUUCAAAUUAUAAUUCAUUUGACUUUUUUUAACAUAAGUUUGAUCACUCGUUUUAUUCAAAAAAAAUUAUGCAAACAUAGUCAAAUUAAAUCAUUCUCGAAGAACUUUUGUUAAUAAAGCAAGUCAAAUAAACUAUAAUUUAAAAUGGAUUUAGUAGAUAUGUUAUAAUAAUAUAUAUUUUAUAAGUAAUGUAAUGAUGUGUACUUUUAUUAUAAUAACUAUUUAUAGAUUCUUUUUGUAUAUUUGAUAAACUUGAGAUAUUUUUAACUUAGUUCAUCCCAAAAUCUAAAAACUUUUCAAGAUUCUCCAUCACAUCGAAUUUUGUGGCACAUGCAUGGUAUAUGUUGUCUAUAAUUUGUGAGAUGAAUCUUUUAAGUCUAGUUAGUCUAUGAUUAGACAAUAAUUGACAAAUAUAAAUGAAAGUACACUUUUUUUACCCAAGAACUGCACGUGUUUCUAUUUAUUCUUUUAUAAUGUAUAUGUAUAUUUACAUACACCAAACUCUGUAACUUAUUUAUUCUUCACUGUUCAGGCCGGACGUUUGAGACGAGGGACCCGCGCACGGGGGACGUGAUAGCCACCGUCGCCGAGGCUGACAAAGACGACGUGGACUCGGCAGUGAGGGCAGCCAGGGACGCCUUCGACCACGGCGAAUGGCCACGCAUGUCUGGAUCCGAACGGGGGCGGAUCAUGGCGAGGUUCGCUGACCUGGUGGAGCAGCACGCGGACGAGCUGGCGGCGCUGGAGAGCCUGGACGCCGGGAAGCACCCGGCCAUCACCAAGGCCGUCGACAUCGGCAACGCGGCGGGCAGCCUGCGGUACUUCGCCGGCGCGGCGGACAAGAUCCACGGCGAGACGCUCAAGAUGCAGGCGCAGUUCCAGGGCUACACCCUCCGCGAGCCCCUGGGCGUCGCCGGGAUCAUCAUCCCCUGGAACUUCCCCUCCACCAUGUUCGCCAUCAAGGUCGCCCCGGCCCUGGCCGCCGGCUGCGCCAUGGUCGUCAAGCCCGCCGAGCAGACGCCGCUCAGCGCGCUCUUCUUCGCCCAGCUCGCCAAGCGGGCUGGAGUCCCCGAUGGCGUCGUCAAUGUCGUGCCAGGCUUCGGUCCGACGGCGGGAGCUGCACUCGCGUCUCACAUGGACGUUGACAUGGUAUAUGGUACUCUUUACACUGACAACAGCCGAACAGCUCCCUGCAGGUACAAGAGCUCGAUCGCUUACAGAAGAUGUUUCUGUUCUGCAGGUGACUUUCACUGGAUCCACAGAGGUUGGGCGCCUCAUAAUGAAGGCCUCCGCGGAGAGCAACCUGAAGCCGGUUUACCUGGAGCUCGGCGGCAAGUCGCCGCUCAUCAUCUUCGACGACGCGGACGUCGACAUGGCCGUCGAGCUCGCCGUCAGCGCUAACUUCUUCAACAAGGUGAAUGACCGAACAUGCAUGCAUGAUGCGUUUCGUUCUUAUAUAUUUCAGUGUUUAUAGCCAUACGUGAGCUUGAGCAAGUAACUGAUGAUCAAACGGGCGCGCGCGCGCAUCGAUCAGGGAGAAGCCUGCGUGGCGGCGAGCCGUGUGUACGUGCAGGAAGGCAUGUACAGCAGAUUCGAGGAGAAGUUGGCAGAGAGGAUGAAGAGCUGGGUGGUGGGAGACCCUUUCAGUGACGCUCGUGCCAACCAGGGCCCUCAGGUGGACAAGGCGCAGUAUGAGAGGGUGCUCAGCUACAUCGACCAUGGCAAGAGAGAAGGGGCCACUCUUCUGACCGGAGGAGGAAGACCAGCCGCCUGUGGUCACAAAGGCUACUACAUUGAGCCCACGGUUUUCACCAACGUCACGGAGGACAUGGUCAUAGCCAAGGAGGAGAUCUUCGGCCCUGUCAUGUGCCUGAUCAAGUUCAAGUGCGUAAUAAAAAUUAUUGUUUAAACUUUAGACUAAUUAGGCUCAAUAGAUUCACCUCUCAAAUUACAGAUGAAUUGUGUAAUUAAUUAUUUUUUAUAUCUAUAUUUAACUGAUUGAUUGAUUUGGUGCAGGACGGUGGAGGAGGCGAUCUGGAGGGCGAACGACAGUCGGUACGGGCUGGGCGCCGGGGUGGUGACGCGAGACGUGGACGUGGCGAACCGGGUGGUGAGGUCGGUGCGCGCCGGGGUGGUGUGGGUCAACUGCUACUUCGCCAUGGGCAGCGACUGCCCCUUCGGCGGACGCAAGAUGAGCGGGUUCGGCAAGGACGAAGGCAUGCACGCGCUCGACAAGUACCUGGCCAUCAAGUCCGUCGUCACCCCGCUGCGUGCCUCGCCAUGGAUGUGAAUGUGACUGGAUUUGUUGGACUGCUGCUGCCUGCCUGUGAACUGUCUGUGAUCCAUCUGGAGCGAGCCUCCCGGCCGGGUGGCUGCUGCCUCUCGUGUGCAUGCCUUUGCUGCUCGCUAGCUCCCGACCCGGCCGGCCGGCCGUCGCUUUUAGUUUUGUUCGUGUGCGGCACAACGUUGUUACAAGUAUUUAUCAGAAAGAAAAAAAAACCGUUGUUACAAGUAGUAGACCUACAAUAGCAGAGGUUAAAAGGUAUUAAUAAUGAAGUAACAGAUGAUGUGUCCCACACUAGUCUAUGCUGAUAGAAAUUGGCGUGUCACGUGCAGAUUGUUUUCCCCCUGGAAAAGAGACACCCACGGGUACUGCUGGGUUCAUAUGCAGUUUUUUUUUUACAGUGGCUUCUGGGCUGAGCUGGGACCUGAGAGAGUGUUGCAAUGAACGCUCUGCAUCACCGUUUGUUUACUUAUCUCGUCCAAGUGAGUUUGUGACGAGGGGUUACAGCCAGCCGUGCUGCAGCUAGCGGCUGUAAAUCCCGCCCCCCUGGCUAGGCCUGCGGCAUGUCUCCCGAGAAACGCUCGUGGCUUUCGUUUUUCUAGAACCAGGUCGUGCUCAAGCUUGCGCGAGCAAUUUUGGGGGCGGCGAGAGGGCGGCCGGAAACUUCCGCCUGUCCUUGCCGCCGAAACUCAUCGUCCUUAUAUAACGUCCCUCCCCCCCUCAGCCUUACAUUACAAUCUUUUCACCUUGUACUUGUGAGGCACUUGAGCAUAAAAUGUGAUCAAAGUUGUGUGCGUGUUGUUCAUAAUUGUUAUCAAACCAUGGGAGACAUUCCCAAGCAACAGCUCGAGGGAUCUCCUCAGUGGAUGGCUGGGAUGGAUGCAUGGCUCCCAUGGUUACAUAUAUGCCCCCAUAGUGUUGGUUUUCAUGUCUCAGUUUCAAUUAUGUUCAUGGAAUGUUCAUUAAGCUCCAAGUGCGAGGUGAAAAGAUAUGGCAACAAAAAUCUGAGGCAAUUAGUUUUGCAGAAACCAAUCAGUUAUGAAAUCUAUUCUUUUUCAAGACAUAUACUUAUACUUCGUUUCAACUUGCUAUUCUGAAGGGCUCUAUUACUUGGUAUGUGGUGUGUACCGUGAUAAAAAAACUGGGGUUUAUGAAACAUGGGCAACCUAUAGUAAACAGGUAACUGGUCACAAGAAAAACAGCUACAAAAAAUUUCCUUCUAAGAGGCUGUUGCUUCAUACUUGGAAUACAUGAGGUGUGAAGAUACUGCCAUGGAUGACAGUGUUUUGUGCACGCAUCCACCAUUCCUCUUGUUGCCAUUCCACAACCUGAAGAAAACCACAUUGAUUGGAGGAAUCUUCUAAUAGUUCUCCUAGUCAUAGGUCUUGUCUCGCUGGUUCUUGCUCUUUGGUUUCUGUGAUGUCUGCAGGACGAUGAUGACAGUUUCUGUGAUGUCUGAUACCUCUGAUUUGCAUCUGCAGCAACUCAUGUAGAACUAUGUUCAAGUGAACAUGUCUAAGGCCUAAAGGAUGACUGAAAGUCAUGUUCUGUAAACCUUUCAUUUGCUCGAAUUAUGCGUAUUCUUUGCAUUGGCACACUCCAUCUUGGCCGAAAUCAAAUACCUUUCCAUUGAGGUAGUUGGCGUGGUAGUUGAUUGCAGAUCAGGCUUUGGAGGAGAAUCAAACUAGGACUCUGCUCGGUCACCCUCUUUUCCUCAAAUGCAAUCAAACAGUAGGCUUGUGCCGUGGUGGCGAGGCCAUGGCUGGCUCUGCUCAGUUUGGAUAUCAAACGCGCCCAAUGUGUACCGAACAGGCCCGAUCGAGAACCUCGAUCUUUGUUUAAUCAUCUUCCAUCCAUCGAGAACCUCGAUCCCACAACCUAGAUGAGUUCGGGCCUGGCCUAGUACCACCCCCUCGGCAUUCCAUAGUCGCCGUACAGUAUGUAUAAAGACUAAGACCUUGUUGGCCUUGUUUAGUUCACAAAAAUUUUCAAGAUUCUCCGUCACAUCGAAUCUUUGGUCGCAUGCAUGGAGCAUUAAAUAUAAACAAAAAUAAAAAAUAAUUGCACAGUUUAUCUGUAAUUUAUGAGAUGAAUCUUUUGAGCCUAGUUACUCCGUGAUUGGAUAAUGUUUGUCAAAUAAAAAUGAAAGUGCUACAGUAGCCAAAAACCAAAAAUUUUUCAAACUAAACAAGGCCAAAAAAAAUUACAAAAUUUUUCAUGUCACAUCAAAUAUCGUGGCAUAUGCAUGGAGUAUAAAAUAUAGAUAAAAGUGUUGGGUACCAUAAUAAGGGAUACCCAAACCAGAGCAAUCAAAAAAGCAAAAAAAACAUACUAACCACAAUCAUCAGGGUAGGGGCCCCAGUGCAUCCAACUCGUCCGACCCCUCAGGGCCUCGGACGAAAGUUCCGACUCGCCCGACCCCUCAGGGCCUCGGACGCAAGUUCCGACUCGCCCGACCCCUCAGAGCCUCGGACGCAGGUUCCGACUCGCCCGACCCCUCAGGGCCUCGGACGAAAGUUCCGACUCGCCCGACCCCUCAGGGCCUCGGACGCAAGUUCCGACUCGCCCGACCCCGUCCAGGCUCGGGCGCCGGACCCCACUCCGCCUGGGCAGCAAGAUUUCCACCGCACGGCGCCCGUACCUAUGACAUGACAGACGCGAUGGCUUCCAUACCGCAGCAGGGCAAGGCGACAACUAUUCCAACCACCCAGGGCACUGCAGCAUCACCUUUUUCACUGUGUGCCCUUACCUCUUUCACUGUGGCAUACUGCCGCACAGUAGAAAGGGAAUGGGAGAGGUAAAUCAGCACCACUAUUUGGGGUCUUUUCCCACUAUUGACAAGAUGUGAAGCAGUGCUGGCGAUCCGACCCCCGCGACCCCUACAGGGCUCGUUAACCCUCUACAGGAACAGCCAUGCUGUCAACCAUCCCUCAAGGACGAGAUGGACCAGCUCCAACGGGGUCGGGACUGUGGUUUCACCAUUCCACCCAGGGAAAUCAACUCAUGUAAAUCUUUGUCUCCCCUUGAGGCUAUAAAAGGGGAGCCAAGACUCAGAGCUAGGAGAGAGUUCAGGAAGUUCACACGCACACAACACUCUUUCUCAGAGCAGCAACCCGCACUCUGUCCACCACCAAGCUGAGACCUGGGACUUAGCCCUCGCUCGCAACCUGCUUGUACCCCCUACCACAAGCACCUUUGGGUGCAAGGUUAUACAGAACCACCGAUCGCACUGGACGUAGGGCAUUCUUGGCCCGAACCAGUAUAAACCCUCUGUGUCUCACUUGCAUCACCAUCCAAGCUUGGUCAGUCACGCAGACUUAUACUUGUUAGUGCCUAGACCACGAGUCUAAACGCCGACAGUUGGCGCGCCAGGUAGGGGCCUUCUGUGUGACAUUCACCUGUCCCUACUGGGAAGGUUUGGAUGGCAGACGGAUUUCGCCCGCUCCGCCGCGGCACCAUCAUGAUGUUCGGAAGUUUGGAGUUCAUGCCCCUCGGUUCCGGCUACGACAUGGUCCUCCUCCUGCCACGUGGUGACGUCGAGCCUGCUCCCGAGCCGAUCCCACCACAGUCCGAGCGUGGGCACCGUUCGGGACACCGUACGGGGGGCGCUCGGCGGGGACGUCAGAGAUCUAGGAUCUCCGAUCCCACCACUGAGGCUAGGAUCCGUCCGGUCCUCUCCCCGCAUAUUCCUCACCAGGUCGCCCGCUCCUCCGGCCCGACAGGCGCUAGAGGAAGGGCUCGCGGGGCAUCAGGCUCCGCCCCCAGGACCAACAGAGGAUCAUCGCGGCCACCCGUCCCACCUCGUUCGAAGGGGAAGGCACGGCCCGCGCCCGUCCCCCGCAAGGGGGACAAAGGGGCCUCAACAUCUGUUCCUCCUCCACCCAUGGGUAAAGGAGCAACAGCGGCACCUCCCGAGUUACCUUUUGGGCUCAGGAACGCCGCCACCACCUACGCCUCUUUCGUGAGCACUUCAUUAAGUGCGUAUGCGGAACUUCCGGGGCACCACUUGAGGUCUACUCUGGACCUCGUUUCCACACCGCCCGUUUCAUCAUACCCAGAGGACCUCACCUCGGGCGACGACGAGUGGGCUGGCGCUGAUUUCUCCGGGUGUGGCGACCCGGAGACCUUCAUGCGCUUCUUGGAGGCCAGCAACUAUUGUCUCGGCUACUCCGACUCCGACGACGGAAGCUACGACCCGUCACGAGAGUGCUUCAACUUAGAAGUCGGAGACACGGCGCAUAACGCCCAGGGGGACGCAGGGCCCUCUAGGCAAGAGAACGCAACUCCACCUCCCAAUCCAACUCCCGGAACGAAUCUUGGAGCCCGUGGGGUAGCAUCUGCCCCCGCUGGGGGACACCGUCCUGACCUCGCACAGCUCGAUGAGCUGGUGGCCAGGCUCGAAGAAGAACGCACACGCCUCCGCCAACUCCGCGAGGCCCUGGUCCGAGAGCCGGCUGGCCGCGGAGACGGCGGUGAGGCUAGGCGCCGCGCCCGAGACGUCAACCGCCGCAUCGUCGAGGAUACAGGGGGUGACGCCCCAGUCUUCAGCACGGCCAGCCAGAAUGUGAUGGCCGCCGCGCUCCUCCUUAGGGCGAUGCCCGAGCCUUCGACUCUUGAGGGAAGGAGAGUGCGCCAGGGGCUGCGUGGCCUCCUGGAGCAGGCUGUGGUGCAGAACGCGGAAAGUUCUGCCUCACAAUCCCAUAUCACGAGACGUCGUGGGGACCGACCCCCUCCUAACAAGGCACCAACGAUACAGGGUCCGCCACCCCCUAACCCACAAGGGGGCAACAGGGCCCCGUCAGUACACGAGCGUGUCGGAGCUGAUGCGGACGCACGGGCCACCCUCGAGGCCAGGCGACGUGACAAGGACGAGGCCGAGUCCCGACGUUACCGACCGCGCCGAGGCGGGAGGUACGACCUCGAUCACGACCGAAGCACGUCACCAGAGCCUCCGGGUCCCCGCGUCUUCAGCGAGGCCAUACGCAGGGCCAAGUUCCCUGCGCGAUUCCGACAGCCCGCCAACCUCGUCAAGUACUCAGGAGAAACUAACCCCGAGCUCUGGCUGGCGGAUUACCGCCUGGCAUGCCAGCUGGGCGGAGCGGAUGACGACCUGCUCAUCAUCCGCAACAUCCCACUGCAUCUGGCCGACACGGCCAGGGCGUGGCUUGAGCACCUUCCUGAGCGCAUGAUCCACGACUGGGCCGACCUGGUGAGGAUCUUCGUUGGGAACUUCCAGGGCACGUACGUGCGCCCUGGGAACUCCUGGGACCUCAGGAGUUGCCGGCAGAAGCCCGAUGAGUCCCUCCGAGAUUUCAUCAGGCGAUUCUCCAAGCAGUGCACCGAGCUCCCCAACAUCACGGACUCCGACGUCAUCGGAGCCUUCAUUUCUGGCACCACUUGCAAAGAGCUCGUACACGAGCUCGGACGCAAGACCCCUACGAGCACCAGCCAGUUGCUCGACAUCGCCACCAACUUUGCCUCAGGCGAAGAAGCAGUUGGCGCCAUUUUCUCCGACAGCACAGCCAAAGGGAAACAGAAGGCUGAGGCCGCCGAGGCCUCGGGAUCGCGCGACCCCAAAAAGAAGAAGAAGGGCCGCAAGGGGUGGCAGGGACAGUCGGACGACAACCUGGUCGCCGCGGCAGAUCGCAAGAACCCCAAGCGGGCUCCCGCUGGCCCCGGUCUCUUCGACGAAAUGUUGAAGAAGCCGUGCCCCUAUCACAGGGGGCCAACCAAACACACCCUUGAGGAGUGCACCGUCCUCCGUCGGUACUACACCGACAUCGUCACCAAGGAGAGUGCCGAAGAGCCUCCCAAGGACAACGAUGUCCAGGGGGAGGAUUUCCCCAAGGUCAAGAACUGCCUUCUGAUCUUUGGGGGACGAGCGGCAUGCCUCACUGCGAGUCAGAGGAAGCACGAACUCUGAGAAGUUUGCGCAGUCAGCACGGCCGCGCCCUCGUACCUCAAAUGGUCCGAGAGCGCGAUCACGUUCGACAGACAUGAUCACCCGGAUCGGAUUCCCAAUCCCGGGAGCUAUCCUCUGAUCGUCGACCCCAUCAUCGCCGAGACCCGUCUCACUAAGGUGCUGAUGGAUGGAGGCAGCGACCUCAACAUCCUCUACGCCGAGACUCUGGCCCUCAUGGGGAUCAGCAAGUCCCGGCUGAGGAACGACACCGCGCCAUUCCACGGAGUGGUGCCGGGGCAUCGUGCCCACCCCCUCGGACAGAUCGAUCUGUCCGUCUGCUUCGGGACCCCCGACAACUUUAGACGGGAAGUCCUCACCUUCGACGUGGUCGGGUUCCCAGGGACCUACCACGCGAUCCUGGGACGACCAUGCUACGCCAAGUUCAUGGCCGUCCCCAACUAUACCUACCUCAAGCUCAAGAUGCCAGGGCCAAAGGGCAUCAUCACCGUCAGCACAACCAGCCAGCACGCCUACCAGUGCGACGUCAAGUGCGUCGAGCAGGCCGAGGCUCUGGCAGAGUCUCUGGCCAUCCUCACUGGCCUCGGCGACUGUGACCAGGACGUCCCCGACCCCAAACGUCACGCCGGGAGCUUCGAGCCGGCGGAGGAAACUAAGCUGGUCUUCCUCGACCUCGGAACCUCUGAGGGCAAGGCGUUGAGGAUCAGCUCCAGCCUCGACCCCAAAUAGGAAGUGGUGCUCGUCGACUUUCUCCGCGCAAACGCUGACAUAUUUGCGUGGAGUCCCUCGGACAUGCCUGGAAUACCGAGGGAAGUCGUCGAGCACUCCUUGGACAUCCGAGCCGGCUCCAAGCCCGUGAAGCAACGCCUGCGCCGAUUCGACGAGGAGAAGCGUCGGGCCAUCGGGGAGGAGAUCCACAAGCUGCUGGCGGCCGGAUUCAUCAAGGAGGUAUUCCAUCCCGAGUGGUUAGCCAACCCCGUGCUAGUUAAAAAUAAAAAUGGGAAGUGGAGGAUGUGUGUAGACUAUACUGGUUUAAAUAAAGCAUGUCCAAAGAAUCCCUUUCCAUUACCUCGUAUUGAUCAGAUAGUUGACUCUACCGCGGGAUGUGAAAUUUUGUCUUUUCUUGAUGCUUAUUCCGGCUACCACCAAAUCAAGAUGAAAGAGUCCGACCAGCUCGCAACUUCAUUCAUCACCCCUUUCGGAAUGUAUUGCUACGUAACCAUGCCUUUUGGGCUCAAGAACGCGGGGGCCACUUACCAACGAUGUAUGCUUCAGGUUUUUGGGAACCUUAUAGGCAAAACGGUAGAGGCUUACGUAGACGACAUUGUCGUCAAAUCCAGGAGGGCAAGCGGCCUAGUUGCCGACCUGGAGGAAACAUUCCGAUGCCUUAGGACAAAAGGGAUCAGACUCAACCCCGAAAAGUGCGUUUUCGGGGUCCCCCGAGGCAUGCUCCUCGGGUUUAUUGUGUCUGAGCGGGGGAUCGAGGCCAACCUAGAAAAGGUCUCGGCCAUCGCAAACAUGGGCCCGAUUCGUAACCUAAAUGGAGUACAGAGGGUAAUGGGAUGUCUAGCCUCCCUAAGCCGUUUCAUUUCUCGCCUCGGGGAAAAAGGGCUGCCUCUGUAUAGGUUACUUAGGAAAUCUGAGCACUUUUCCUGGACCCCCGAGGCCCAGGAAGCCUUUGACAAACUCAAGGCUCUGCUCACCAACCCUCCCAUCCUGGUGCCCCCCGCCGAGGGGGAGCCACUUCUUCUUUACGUCGCAGCCACCGAUCAGGUGGCCAGCGCAGCUAUCAUGGUCGAGAGGAAGGAGGAAGGGCACGCCCUGCCGGUCCAAAGGCCGGUGUACUUCAUCAGUGAAGUGCUCUCCGACACAAAGACCCGAUACCCCCAGAUCCAAAAAUUACUCUACGCAGUGGUUCUAGCCCGACGCAAGCUCCGCCAUUACUUUGAAUCUCACCCGGUCUCAGUGGUCUCAUCCUUCCCUUUGGGAGAAGUGAUUCAGAACCGAGAAGCCAACGGAAGGGUUGCUAAAUGGGCCAUAUAGCUCAUGGGCGAUGGGAUCACCUAUGAGCCUCGCAGAGCCAUAAAGUCCUAGGUCCUGGCUGACUUUGUGGCAGAGUGGACUGGGACUCAGCUCCCACCACCACAGAUCCAGCACGAGUGCUGGACCAUGUACUUCGACGGGUCCUUGAUGAAAACUGGGGCCGGUGCGGGCCUUGUCUUCAUCUCACCCCUCGGGGUAAGGAUGCGAUACGCAAUCCGGCUCCAUUUCCCUGCUUCAAACAAUGCAGCAGAGUACGAGGCCCUUGUUAACGGUCUCCACAUCGCGAUCGAGCUUGGGAUCAAACGGCUCGACGCCCGAGGCGAUUCCAGACUCGUCAUCGAUCAAGUCAUGAAAGAGUCUGGCUGCCAUGACCCCAAGAUGGACGCGUACUGCAAAGCGGUCCGACGGUUGGAAGAAAAGUUCGACGGCCUCGAACUUAACCACGUGUUAAGGAAGUAUAAUGAGGCCGCCGACACGCUCGCCAAGAUGGCAUCCGAGCGGGCCACAGUCCCCCCGGAUGUCUUCGUCAGCGACCUCUACAAACCUUCCGUCGACCACAAGGACGACGGGGGGUCGGACGAACCCCCAAGCAAACAGAGAUCCGACCCCAAAGACGUUGCCGCUCAAGAACAGGAAGCCAUGGACAUCGAGCCAGAGCCACCUGCAUCUGACGACUCGCCCGACUGGCGCUACCCUUUGCUUCAACGCCUGGUCGACGGCAUUUUGCCCCCGGACCAGGCUGAGGCAAAGCGCGUGGCCCGUCGUGCCAAGACCUUCGUCCUCCUCGAUGGGGAGAUGUACAAGCGAAGCCCAUUGGGCGUCCUCAUGCGUUGCAUCCCACGUCAGGAAGGAGUCAAGCUCCUGCAAGACAUACACUCGGGGGUUUGUGGCCAUCACUCCGCACCUCGGACAUUGGUAGGAAAUGCCUUCCGACAAGGCUUCUACUGGUCCACCGCCGUGGCCGACGCCACGGACAUCGUGCGGACCUGUGAGGGAUGUCAGUUUUACGCUCGGCAGAUACAUCUACCUGCUCAGGCUCUGCAGACGAUCCCCAUCACCUGGCCUUUCGCUGUCUGGGGCCUCGACCUGGUCGGGCCCCUGCAGAAAGCACCCGGGGGCUUCACCCACUUGCUUGUCGCAAUCGACAAGUUCUCCAAGUGGAUCGAGGUCCGACCCAUCACAAGGAUCAAGGCCGAACAGGCGGUAUUGUUCUUCACGGAUAUCAUCCAUCGAUUUGGAGUGCCGAACUCCAUAAUCACCGACAACGGCACACAGUUCACCGGGCGAAAGUUCCUGCAGUUCUGCGACAGACACCACAUACGUGUGGACUGGGCGGCAGUGGCUCACCCCAAGACCAAUGGUCAAGUGGAGCGUGCCAAUGGCAUGAUCCUCCAGGGCCUGAAGCCCAGGAUCUUCAACCGUCUGAACAAGUUUGGGAAAAGGUGGCUCAAACAGCUACCGGCCGUCGUCUGGAGUCUGAGAACCUCCCGAAGCCGAGCCACGGGCUUCACCCCGUUCUUCAUGGUCUAUGGGUCGGAAGCCGUCCUCCCCACUGACCUGGAGUACGGGUCCCCAAGGGUACAAGCCUAUGACGAAAAUAACGGCAAAACGUUCCAAGAAGACGCGCUGGACCAGCUCGACGAAGCCAGAGACGUAGCCCUCCUACACUCCGCCAAGUACCAACAGGCCCUUCGCCGAUACCAUGCGCGACGGAUCCGAGGCCGAGCCUUUCAAGUCGGCGACUUGGUGCUAAGGCUCAGACAGAGCAACAAGGGUCGUCACAAGUUCACACCCCCCUGGGAAGGACCCUUCGUCAUCGCCGAAGUCCUCCGACCCGGGACCUACAAGCUCGCCAAUGCAGCAGGGGAGGUCUUCAAAAACACAUGGAACAUAGAACAGCUACGUCGAUUUUUCCCUUAGAACUUUGUAAAAAUUUCUUUGUUCAUUCAUUACCUUCAAGGAAUAAAUCAAAGUUUAAGUUAUCAGACAGCCUCGGACCUGCCAACCAGAGUCCGAGCCUCCCUCGAGGGCUACAUGGGGGGGACCCCCUAUGUCGACUCCGAACCUUUUUCUUUUUUCGCGCAAGUUAAAAGAACCCCGACCCAAGGUCUUCCUCCUCCUUUCUAAAAAGACUCAAGAAACCGAAAAUCCGUCCCCUAAAUCCUAAGGUAUGAGCCCGAGGAAGGAUCUGCGCUCACGAGCAAAGACCGCCUCUACUCACCUUAGAUUCGGGGAACGAAUUCGGACUUCCAAGAGUUACUAAGGAAAAAGGAAAAGCACUUAGGCUCGGAGACUCUGGCUAGCGCAAAAACUCUAAGUAGCUCACCCGACCUCGCGCUGCCGAGGUCGGAUCGGCAUAAAGAAAAAGAAAAUAAGACACUUAGGGAAAAAGCUCAAAAAGAGCAGUUAUACAAAUAUCUACAUUUGACGUUAACAUUGUAUAUAUAUUACAAAGGCCCACCGGCCUCGACACCCACAAAAAGAAAAAAAAACUAAGGGUCCUACUGCCCUAUUUCCCCAGGUCCUCGAGCCUCGAGGGGCGGAAGCUCCACCUCGUCGUCGAAGAAGGCGGCCAAGGCAUCUCCGGGGGCAGCCGCGGCGUCCUCGAGCCUCUGCACCUCCUCCUGGGCCUCUGUCUCAUCAUCUGGGAGAACAUAGCCAAGCCCCUCGCACGCCGAGGUGACCACGGCUUCAAGAGCCGAGCGGUCCGAAGCCUCGGCGUCAAGGGACUUCUGCAGGCCCUCGGCAGCAGAGGUUGCCUCGACCACCUUCCUCUCUAACUCUGUCGAAAAACAGAGUAAGAAACAAAAAGUCAGGAAAAGCUAACUCAAAAGUAUAAAGGAGUCCAAGGUAAAGGGCGCGGGUCUUACCCUCGGCACGCUUCUCGUGCUCCGCCGAGCUUUGAUGCCAGCGGGCCACCUGGCUCAGAGCCCCGGAUAGGUCGGUCUGAGCCUGGUUCAAGGCAAGGUCUCUUUCGGCGAGCAAAGCUUCAAGCCGAGCAACCUCACCCUUAUACCCCUCAGCCGCCGCCUUCUGCGCCUCGGAUUCCCGGGCAAGGGCCCCAAUCCUCUCCUCCAGGGGGGCGACCUUGUCCCGGGCUUCCCGAGCCUCGGCGGCCAGUGCCGAGCACUUCUGCCGAAGCUCGGCAGAAACCUCGCACUCCCUCGCGAGCUCCCCCUCUGCCGCCUCCCUGGCAGCCCUCUCGUUCUCAAAGGACGCCCGAGCAUCCCUUUCCCGACGGAGAAAUACUGAUUUCUCCAGGGAGGUGGCCUUGAGCGCCUACAAGAUCGGAGGUCACACAGGGAGUUGAUAUUGCAAAGUAAGGACAAAACUACUUCAUAACACGGGUAAAAAUCUUACCUGAGCCAAGUUAAAAAUGUCACGGCCCACGAGCUGAGAAGCUCUGUUCAGGGCCUCGAUACCAGCGCGCCCACAUGCGUCCAGACCCUGCCAGAGGUAAUUCUCUGAGGGUCAUCCAGAACGAAUCUGGCUCCCCCCUCGGCAUCGCCGAGGUUGGGCCAGAUUACGGGGCUCUUACCCCAUCCGACAUCUCCCUCUCCCGCCGCGGGGGCCUCGGGCGCCGCGCUGGACGCCACGAUGGCCCGACCUUCCUCAGCAUGUUCAGGCCGGGCCGCACCUCCCAGGUCAUCAUCCUCCGGUCCUUGGGGCUUCGACGCCCCCGUGUCCUGCCCCUGGUGCCGCCCUCUCUCCCCGUAGCCCGGCGGCGGCGGCGACGCGGGCCUAGCCGACCCAGGAGUCGAAUGAGCCCCCCUCUUCAUGGCUUUCAGGGGGGCCAGCGCCACCGAAGGCGCCUUUUGCUUACGGCUGGGGGAACAACAUCAAGUUAGAAGAAAGAGAAAAACAAAAAAUCAGCAGAAGGAUCAGGAAUCCUAUCUCUACCUCGCCCGGGGAGCAGACUCCUUAUGGGAGCUCGGGGCUCCUUGGGGGUCUCCCGCGGCGCCAGGGGCUGUCGGUCGGACCCCUGUCUCGCCUGCCGACGGCGCAGGGGGCACCAUGUUGGCCUCGGCCUGCGACACCUCCACGGGGGCACUGGCUUCCGCCCCGGACGAUGGGGUGGGCUCGGCCCGACCCUCCGGCACUACCAAAUGAGGGGGCUCCUCGGGCUCGGCCUCCGAUGCCUUCUCCCCCUCUUGGGGGCCUACGGGGGCCGAAUCCUUACGAGGGGCGCUGUCCUCAUCGUCCACAAUGAUGUGGGGGACGGACUGUCCGCCCCCCGGCGCCUGGGUCCCCUCGGGGGCCUCUGACCCACCUCGGGCCUUUGACCCCUCCGGGGCAUCGAUCCCCCCGGCAGGAGGGACUGCGUCGUCCUCCUCCAUCAGCUCGUCAAGCCAGUCGACGUCGCCACCCUCACCCUCUAUCUCCGAGACCGAGGUCUCGGGAGAGGGGGGCGGGGCGACCCCCGCCUUCUCGGCUUCACGAUGAUUUUUGGUGGAGAUCUCCCGCCGCACCGCUUUCCGCGCUGCUUUGGCCUUCUUGUCCUCCUUGGCCUUCUUUUGCUCCUCGUUCCGGGCCCAAUUCUUGGCCCGGAUCUCCUUGUCCUCCGGGACAGGGGGUGGGGAAUCCUUGACAACUCCCAUCCUCUGCGAACAAUCAGGGAUCAAGAAAAACGCAGAAAGAAAAAGAGAAGAAAGCGCGAAUGUCUACACUUACUAGAGAAAUAUAACCCUUCUCCGGGCGCAUCGGAACCACCCGGGAGUUCUUCAUGUCCGAGUGAGUCGUCCUCUCCACCCGGGCGGUGAUGUCCGAAGCCGAUAUCGCCUCGGCUAACAUCCUCGUCCCUGCCCAGGGGACCCCCCGGGUCAUCUCGAACAUGGGCACUCGCCGCUGCGCCAGCGGAAGCAAACUCCUCUUGUGGAAGGCGAUUGCCACCGUGGCCGUGAUGACUUCGGCAUCUCGCAGCUUCUGAAGCCCUGCGAGAAGCGGGGCAAGCUUCUUCUGCUCCUCGGCCGGAGCGCCCCACGCCCACUUCAUAGGAACCUCCGUCACCAUCUUCCCGGUGUACUUCGGCAGCAGGUCGCCGUCGUUCCGAAGGUAGAACCACCUGCUCUGCCACCCCCGGUUCGACGAGGGCAUCGAACUCCAGAUGUACAGCCCGGCCCGCUGCUGACGGAGCUGCAGCGUGCAGCCACCGGCCCGCAGGGGGAAUUUCUCCUUCCCCACGUAACGGGCCGCCAUCUCCGCCUUGAAGAGGUGAAGCCAGAGAUUCCAGUUGACUGGAACCCCAGGAAUCCCUCACAAACCGUGGUGAAAACGGCGGCCUGCAUCACCGAGUUUGGGUUCAGGUUGUGUAACUCCACCUCGUAGUAGUGGAGGAUCGCCCUGAUCAAACGGCCGGCCGGAAUCCCGAACCCCCGGUCUAGGAACGACAAGAAGCAAACCACAUAGCCCGGUGGCGGGUUUGGCUCCCUGUCGUUCGCCGAGGGAACGAUCCACUCCGGGAACCCGACGUCCUUGAGAGGACGGAGAAUCCCGGCCUUCACGCGCGCCUCCAGCGCGGACUUGGUCACAUUGCUGGGCGGCCACGCCUCGACGCCGGCCAUGGCUUCGGAGGAAGAGGAGAGUCUGCGCGGUGGAGAUGGAAAAGAGGGCGGCAGAAGAAAGAGUAGGAGGCAGGGGCUUUGUGGCGCAGGAGCGAGAGGAAAGAAAUCAAGCCCCCAGCGGCCGCUUUUAUAGGAGGGGCGAGCCACGACCACGCCCCUGCGAGGAAGGCCAAGCGAGAGAGAGAGAGAGAGAGAGCAACCGUCGCCCACUCAGGUGAAAAACUCGAAGCGCCAACUCCCUCCGAUUCCCGCGCCCGCCGCAUGUGCGCAUUAAUUUCGCAGGCGAAACGUCCCAUCCGGCCGGGGCGAGACGGCACGACCGUUUCGAGUCCCCGCGCGCCGCGCCUCAAAAGAAGCGCCCUGAAAAGUUAUGUCAGGGCGGUUCCUUCCAGGGGACGCGGCGCCCGACCACCCGCUGACCAAGCAUCACAGGAGGGUCUCCGUCAGGCGCAGUUUUCCGUCUCGCCCGACCCCAUCGAGGCCCCGAGCUAAAAUUGCAAGGUGGUCUCCCACCGGGCGCAGAUUCCGUCUCGCCCGACCCCCAACACUACAAAACGAGUCUGAAAAAAGCCUUUCGAGGCCCAAAAUCCCCAGGCCAUGGCCACCCACGUUCCAGAGGUUGCGAGACUGACCUGCGACACAGGUUCGAACAGUCGCCUCAGGAUAACUGAGCGAGGGAUGACUGAAGAUGAGCACAAUAGAGGCCAAGGUCCGAGCCCAACAGGGAGUCGGCGCAUCUUUACAAGUCAUAUCCGAUACCCAUGCGGGUGUCACGUGAGUGGGAUCCCACCGAGGGAGGCAUCAAGCCCUCGGAACCUAACGAACGGUUCCGACAUCCACCGUGACUGCCCUCGGGUACUUUUUGAGAUGUGCCCAUAAGACCACUAGCCGACCCCUAUCGAACGGGACUCGGACAUCCACUUGGAUCUACCCGCCUGCAGCUCCCGGGAAGCGUCGUCACUCGCCCAUCGAGGGUAGUACGGCACGACCCACCCCUCCUCCGAGCGAAAGGAAGAAUGAGGGACGUAAUUACAAGACGAGAAAGAACCUGAUCGACCCUUGCGGGGAAAGGGCUCGGGGGCUUUCUCACACCAUGGGAACAGGCACUACGUGUAAAGAACACGCAACCUAUCCCUUAAAACACUCCAGGCUAUAAGCUGUCAAAGGGUGAAAUCCUUUGAAGGAAUAACACCAUUCCUCCAAAAGGCUCGGGGGCUACACCCGGCGGGUGCGCUCGCGCGCACCCCCCGGAGAAAAGUAAAAGGCUCCUAGUCAACUACAGUCUCUGGGGAAAGAACCUCUAAAGAGGUGACCUCACCCCUUCAGAGGCUCGGGGGCUACUGUUGGGUACCAUAAUAAGGGAUACCCAAAUCAGAGCAAUCAAAAAAGCAAAAAAAACAUACUAACCACAAUCAUCAGGGUACGGGCCCCAGUGCAUCCAACUCGCCCGACCCCUCAGGGCCUCGGACGAAAGUUCCGACUCGCCCGACCCCUCAGGGCCUCGGACGAAAGUUCCGACUCGCCCGACCCCUCAGGGCCUCGGACGCAAGUUCCGACUCGCCCGACCCCUCAGGGCCUCGGACGAAAGUUCCGACUCGCCCGACCCCUCAGGGCCUCGGACGCAAGUUCCGACUCGCCCGACCCCGUCCAGGCUCGGGCGCCGGACCCCACUCCGCCUGGGCAGCAAGAUUUCCACCGCACGGCGCCCGUACCUAUGACAUGACAGACGCGAUGGCUUCCAUACCGCAGCAGGGCAAGGCGACAACUAUUCCAACCACCCCGGGCACUGCAGCAUCACCUUUUUCACUGUGUGCCCUUACCUCUUUCACUGUGGCAUACUGCCGCACAGUAGAAAGGGAAUGGGAGAUGUAAAUCAGCACCACUAUUUGGGGUCUUUUCCCACUAUUGACAAGAUGUGAAGCAGUGCUGGCGAUCCGACCCCCGUGACCCCUACAGGGCUCGGUAACCCUCUACAGGAACAGCCAUGCUGUCAACCAUCCCUCAAGGACGAGAUGGACCAGCUCCAACGGGGUCGGAACUGUGGUUUCACCAUUCCACCCAGGGAAAUCAACUCAUGUAAAUCUUUGUCUCCCCUUGAGGCUAUAAAAGGGGAGCCAAGACUCAUAGCUAGGAGAGAGUUCAGGAAGUUCACACGCACACAACACUCUUUCUCAGAGCAGCAACCCGCACUCUGUCCACCACCAAGCCGAGACCUGGGACUUAGCCCUCUCUCGCAACCUGCUUGUACCCCCUACCACAAGCACCUUUGGGUGCAAGGUUAUACAGAACCACCGAUCGCACUGGACGUAGGGCAUUCUUGGCCCGAACCAGUAUAAACCCUAUGUGUCUCACUUGCAUCACCAUCCAAGCUUGGUCAGUCACGCAGACUUAUAUUUGUUAGUGCCUAGACCACGAGUCUAGACGCCGACAAAAAGAUAAUUAAUUAUAUAGUUUACUUAUAAUUUACGAAACGAAUUUUUUAAACCUAGUUAGUUUGUAAUUAGAUAAUAUUUGUCAAAUACAAAUGAAGGUACUACAAUGCCUAUUUUGCAAAAAAAAAAAAGUCUAACAAGGCAUAAGCUAUCGGCCAGAGCCCGGCUUCUAGAUCAAGCGCAUGCACCUGCAGCACUUUCCCUGGCACACGGUCAGCGAGUCAAUUUUACUCCCACUAGUCACUAGUUACACUUACACAUGGUCCACGACACGAUUCCACGGCGCGGUCGAGGGGUCGUCCAUUCAAGUCUUUCGUGAAUCGCGAGUCGCAACUCGAUCGCGAGUGCCUAAGUGGAGUGUGCUCAUCAUGCAUUUUGAUUUUGUUUGCAUCUUCUUCAGGAAUCAAGGUCUUGUUUACUUUCAAAAAAUUUUGCAAAAUAAAAAUAGUAACACUUUCGUUUGUAUUUGACAAAUAUUGUCUAAUUAUGGACUAACUAGGCUCAAAAGAUUCGCCUCGUCAAUUCAGACCAAACCGUGCAACUAGUUUUUAUUUUCAUCUAUAUUUAAUACUUCAUACACACGUCCAAAGAAUCGGUGUGAUAAAAAAUUUAAAAAAUUUCGCAAAAUUUUUGAGAACUAAACAAGGCCCAAACGAUCGCAGGUGCUUCAGAGCCAGACGCCCACUACAGCGCCACUUUGGCCGGGCGGCGCCUGGUCAAUAUAUUCACCCACCCUUGCGGCGCCACGCCCUGCCGUUUGCCCACCAUUUACGUCACAGUUCCACAACACAUACCUUGCUCAAGGGUACCGCUUGCUCAGCUCAAGACAGCCAGCAGCUACUACUGCUACUGCUAUUUGCAGGGUCCCAUGGACAUGGAGGGAUUACCCAUCUCGAUCAGGUGCCUCGCGCUUCUCCUCCUCUCGGCGUUCUUCAGCCUCCCGAGGAUGCCGCAGCCUGCGCACGGCCGUCGUCACGGCGAGGCGACUGCGGCUGCAAGGGCGAGCAGGAUCUACUGGCAGGCCCAGGCCGUCGACCAGAUGGUGGCGUGCGCGCUGGUGCUCACCGCCCUCCUCGCCACCUACAUCUACCAUUAAAUUUUGUAGUGUUUGGUAGUAACUAUUAUGAGAUUUAUGACACAGUUACCAUCGUAAGUGUACAAGUAAGCUGUAGCAUUUCCACUCCGAAGCGUGUAUAGAUUUUAUAUAUCAAAUAUAAAAAAACAAGUUGAUAUAUAUCUAUUUAACUAUUACUGAUUCUAUUACAAAAUAUAUGCCAGUUUGGUUUUGUUUUAAAUAAAAUUUCUUUACUUUUAUAUAGUUUAUAGAAAAAUUACAUUAACAUCUACAAUAUCAUAUUAGUUUUUAUUAACUAUUUAUGGAUUAUGGCUUGAUAGUGCAGUUAUAUAUAUAUAGAAUUAUAUCAAAAUUAGAUAAAUCUAUUUUGUAUAGAGCUAAAAUUAAUUAUAAGUUGGAACAGAGGGAGUAGUUUAUGUUACUGACAAACCUUACAGUCUAAGCAUGUUCGCUUGUAUGAAAAACCAUGGCUGAAAGUAUCGUUCGCUGAUUUGUUGUGAGAGAAAAGUAUUGUCGUAUGGUUGACAGAUUCGGUAGAUAAACUCAAGCAAACAAGACAACAUCAUGUUUGCAUUGAUGUGUGUGUGGUAUAGGAAAUCUAGGAUCACACACUAGGUAGAAGACGAUUGAGCCAGAUUCCUAAUAAAGGACAAAAUAGACUUCCUAAAAUUUACAUGCGCUAACUCGAGCUGAGGCAUACGUUGUGUAGAGAAAAGGGAGCGUUCCUUAGAUGGGAUCUACUUGUUCAUUUGACUAAUAAACCAUGACAGAAAGUACUGUUAGAUGAUUUAUUAUAAAAAAACACUGCUCAAUGGCUAUGGAUGGGACCUAGCUCCAUAGCCAGACUCAUGCUAGUGGGAGUCAUCUAUAUAUCCUACUAGAAGAAUUCUUCUCGUGUUGUUGCGGGUAGUCAAGAGGAAAUACAAAGAUUUGAAUGUAAAUCCCUAAGAAUACAGAUGGAUUUGGAUGUAAACUACUUAAAAAUAAAAUAUAUAUUGAUGUUAGUAAUGCAGGUACACUUAUGAACUUGUUAUGUAAGUAAAUCACAUAUCAACUAUAGAAAAAAGAAUCACAAAACCUUAUGGUUUAACUAUAUCAACAUAUAUAACUCCGACAAGAAAAUACGUCUAAUAUAUGCUUUUGAGAGAAACUUAAUUUAUAGAUGCAACAACUGAAUAGAUUAGGCCUGCAAAAUAAUCAGAUUUAUAAAAGUAAGGAGAAAACACUAACGGGACAGUGGAAUAGUGGGACAUCACAAAAUAACAUAUACAUGAUCUACGACUGCGAGGAAUGAAGGAUAGCCUGCUGCAUACACUGAUGAAAAUACCAUGAUCCAAUUUACGACAAACAACACAUGAUCAACCAGCGAUACCAAGAGUACGGGAAUGAAGACCGUCCAGUGGACAUGCAGUGUGUGGCAUCAUGUCCUGUGAAGAUCGUAAGACUAUCUCCAACAAUCCUCACCCAAAAUACAAGACCCAUUUAUCCUUUGUGUAGCGCUACAGGUAAAAGGUUCCAUACCUAUUUUUAGUCUUCUCCAACAACAAGACCUAAAAGACAACACUCUCUGCAAAUGGGUAUCGAGGAGAGAGGAUACCCAAAUUUGGGUUAUGUCUCUUCUGAUACCCAAAGUGGGUCUUGUGUAUGGGUCCUCUGUUGGAGGCUAUAGGUAUUGUGUUGGAGACCCAUUUUGGGUUUGGGUUCCCAAAUGGCUCUCCUGUUGGAGAUAGCCUAAGACUGGAAUAGAUUAUAGAAAGUGUGCUUGGAAAGGAUAGAUGGUGAGCCUGCGAUUAUCUCGUGUAGACAUGGUUUCUAACUUCUAACUUAGACUUGGUCUCUAUGAUUUUUGCUCUUUCUUCAAUAAUUAUCUUGCCACAUUAGUAAAACGCUUAGGUAAUAGUAUAAUUAAUGUAAAUAGAAACUAUGAUAGUUUCUACGUUGAAAGUGCCCUUUCAGACACAUAGACUCACAUAAAAGAGUGCAUACUUUAGGAUAAAGUUAUCACAGACGCCUCACUGUCUAUCAUUGAACGAGUGCAUACCCAACGUACGCGCUCAUAUUCUACCUCUAUGAGAUUAGGGAUGAAAACAAAUUGGAUACGGACGGAUAUCAUCGAUAUCAUAUUUGUUUUCAUAUUUCUGGUCGAAUUCGGAUUCGAAUACAGAUAAUGUCAAUCAUGUCGGAUAAGAUACGAUUCGAUGUCGACAUGGUAUUUAAGUAUUCAGAUACGGAUACAAAUAGAUUUGAACUCCUCUAAACGAAUUCGGUCUCGAAUACGGUCAGAAAAUAUCCGUACCGUUUUCAUCUCUAUAUGAGAUUGACGAGGUCACCAUAGACAUCUCGUUGUCGAUGGCCACGUUGCUUACCACUGAAUAAGUGCAUGUUCACCCCUGUCAACACACGCACACACCCUACCCCUAUAAGAUUAACAAAGUCAACCAUAAGUGUCUCGCUGUCGACCUGAAAGAAUAACCCCAUUCAUCCAAAAAUAAAUUUAUAAAACGUUAUGCAAUGUAUUAAGGUAUAUAAAAAAAGACAAUGUUCAAUGGAACGUUCAUUAGAUUCUAGCAACUUCACAAUUUUCAAUCAACCACAAAUAAACGUCGGCGGCCAAAAAGACAUCCAUUAUUCAUUGCUCGGAGUAUCCAACAAGGGCGCGGCAAAGUCGCGCCUGUCUUUCUAGUCUAUGUUCGCAGUUCACAUAAGAACAGAGGAUCCGAGAUUCAUUCACCGGAUCACUCGUAAAAAUCGUAAUAUUGGGGCAAAGAGACCAGAUAAAACCACGUGACCAAAUCGAAACUACUUGCCCCUGUCAUUUACCAAUCAAGAGAUCACUGGAAACUCGUUACAUCCGCCCAAUCACGAUCCCAUACAAACAGAAACUGCACA